UAAAAUUCUUCCUCCUUCAUUAAAUUUAGCCAUCAUUCAAAGUCUUUGUUCAUACACUAUUUCUUAACUUUGAUUUUCAACACUUCCCUUUAGCCAAAUUUAUGCUUAUAAAAACUCCCUCCUCUCUCAUCGUCAGAAAAUUCGGAUGCGAGUGCCAAGUGUUACUCAAAAAAAAAAAAAACUAGUGCCAAGUACAAAUGGGUAAUUUUUCUGAACAAUGAACAGAGAGAUUUUCACAUGCACUAAGGAGUAAAUACAUACGCAUAUAUAGUAGCUAGAUUGCUAUACAUAGUACGUAUGCGUAAGGAGUACAUACUCGUAGGCAGAAACCGUGGUAGCAAAAAAAAAUUUAUCAUAGGCAUACUACUGUACAUAUAUACGGGGAAAGGACGACUAUGGAUGAAACAUGCACCGCCGGGGCGGUGCCUCUUGACGACCGGGCGUGGCCUGUGGUCAGCUGCGUCUGCGUGCAUGGUUGCCGGCGGCGUUUUCAUCGAUCAGUCAUCAGGCGUUGCCGGUGGCGAUGCGUGCGACGUGGAACUGCGGCGUGUAGCGCUGCUGCGCCCUGGCGGAGGGCUCCUCCUGCGGCGGCUCGUUGAGGAACGCCCAGCUGCUCCGCGUCCACCAGUCGCGGCUCCUGCUGGGGCUGUCAGCUGCCGCGUCGUCGUCGUCUCCGGAUCCGCCGCCCGGGAGGAAGCCGUCCACACGGACCGCCGCCGCCGCCGGCUUCUCCGAGCUCCCGAACGGGCUCUCCUGCCACUGCAUGCCACAUCCGUUACCGUACGUACGUCAGGCUUGUGAUGCAUCAUGAUGAGCUACUGUGUGAUGCAGAUGCACGACGAGACCGCAGACAUGAUAUGAGAGAUUCAGAGAGUAAGUAGGUACCGUGGCGGUGGCCGGCGGCGAGGAAAGAGGCGAGGCGAGCUCGCCGCCGCCUUCCUCCGACGACCUCCGACUCCGACGCUGCUUCCAGAACGCCUCCACUUCCUCCUUGGUCAGCGACCGGUUCCGGCGCGCGUUAACUGAGUAUUAUAUAACACAUCAAAAGACACACAAUAGCUAGAGUUAAUUAAUAUCAGAGAUCGAGUUCCAUCCCUGGCAACAGCAGUUCUUUCGCGUAUACCUUUCUUGUCGUCGUCGGCAAGAACCGGCGAGUCCCAGCCAGCCAUGAGAGACCCCAUCUCCUGUGUCUCUGUACGUGUGUGAUGUGUCCCAGCUGCACGAGCACAAGACUAGCUAGUCACGGUUACAGGAAAAUCAGGUCCUGAUGAGUGAAAGAGCCUCGAUCGUAAUAAUCCUUUCAAUUGGAUGAGUAUGGAUGCAGUAGUGUAUUGGUGAUAAGCCCCAGCGGCGCGCAGGUGGUCGUUUUUAUAUAUGCGAUGGUGCUUGACUUGAAGCCGGUGGCACGUACUGCGGCAGCUGCAGAGCACACAGGAUUAGCAGCAGAGCACACGGGUUUUCGUUUCCACUCUCCAGCGAGGACGAUGUCUCUGGAAGAUACUAUCAUGACAGGCUGGUGAGUGUGCGUCCCUAUCUCUAAUCCUUUUUUUUUUCUUUUGAAACUUGUAAUCCUAGUACUAGUGUACUAUAUUAUUAUACAAUAAAUUAGAAAAUGGAUUAAUAUUUUCCAUAUUAUUUCUUAGUAAGUAUAGUACUACUACAGAUCAUCCAUCGGAUGACCAUGACGACCUUGAACAAAUCAGAAUGCUAGCAGAUCUGGUCCUUGGUCCUUAUCCACCCUGGUCAGUUUGAAAUUAUCUGUCGAUUGUCAGUAGUGUUUUUCUUUAGAAAAAAAAUCAUCAAAUAACUUUUUACUCAAGCGAAUAGGGCUAUCAUUAUUUCAAUAGCAAUAACAGCUCUGGUAUGUUACAGAAAAUCGAUGAUAUAACUCGUGCGCAUAACCCUUAAUAGUAACUUCGUCCACGAACUCGGCAGACACUGAACAAAGCGAUCCGGCAUCUACGGGAUGAUCCAGAAACCAGCACCCUCAGCAGCCCAGCAGCUAAACCUGACAGUGGGCUAAGAUCCAAACCAAACUCACACCAAUCCAAAACAUAUAUAUAUAUGUGAAAGUCAAAUCCAAACCAAAUUAGACCAUGACUUCAGUCAUCCAUAGCAAACCAUACCACUUAUACGCUAGACUCAUUAAAAUACAUUUCUAACUCACCAUUUCACCGUCACCUCAUGCUAUUGUUUAUAUUUAGCCAUAAACAAAAGCAAAAAAUAAAUAGAUAAAAUAAAAAAUCAUUGUAAACUCUAUUAUUUAUAGCCAAACCAGUUCAGCCCACUUUAAUAGAGCCCAAACCAAACUGGUCCAACAGCUUUUUUUUUAGCCUGUUUUAAUCCGAACCAAUACAGCACAAAAGUAAAACCAAACAAAAAACCUAAUUUUAACCCAAUCAUUGUCAGCAGCACUCCGGCGCCAUGCAGACCAGGUGCGUCUACUCUGGAUAGGCGCGCGUCCUCGUCCAGUGACAGUGUGACACGUUGCCCCGCGGGCGUGGUGUCAGCUGUGCGGCUCCGUCGUCAUCUUCUCCACUGCUGUCCUCCGGCCGCCCGGGUCGGGUCGCCAAAAGUCACGGACCCCAUGCCUAUCCUUCCCACCAAAAACACAGCCAUUACAAUACAAAUUAAUUAAAAUUAAACAGGUGUCAUCCCUAUCUCCAAGCUUGGAAUGGCAGGUGCAUGCAUCGCUCUAGUAAGAUCGUCAGCGUGUCAAAAUAACGUACGGCACUGCUAGAAUGGAGCCAUUACUAAGGCGGUAAUAAUACUCAACUGUUGUUUACACUCUGUACUUACGUCGUCUAUAUAUCCCGUAUGGAUUUUCAUUUGUGAUGAAGUGGAAAAUUCCGCUAGUACAACAAAGUUCGGUACUGACAGUUCCAAACCGUUUAGUGCCACUGCCCACUGCCAUUAUAAAAAGACAAGUAAAAAUCCUGAACAUUAGAGGCGUCUACUUGGGAUGUGCCCACAAGUGAUUCAUUUAAUCCAACCGCUAGUGUAAAAUACACUGACAGUUCAUCUAAGCCAGCUGCCAAUUAAUUGACACAUAAAAAAAAUAUCCAAAUAUAUAGGGAAAUUCUAAAAAAACUAAAACAUCUUCUAAUUUAGAAUAAAAAAGUAUUUAAAUACAUCCUUUUGUUGUUCUCGCAUCUUUCAAAAAAAAAUACACAACAUAUCCAACCCAUUUAUUUAUAUAAUUUAUUCUAGAUAACUUAUCAACAUAAGAAAUUGUUCAUAGUAUAUAGAAGAUAAACAAGUCUAUCCUUAAUAAUAAAGAGGCAAAAUUUCAGCCUCUUUUUUUCGUCUGGGCCGUUUUUCGUCUGGCCCAUUCAGCACAUUCGCAGUCGUCUGGCCCAUUCACGUAGACUUCCUCCGCAGGCCCAUCUCCCCGUCUCCGCACAGAACGCCUUCAGCAUCUCAUCACAAUAGUUUUCUCCUCCGUAAAAAAACAGUCAAGUCGUAGCACUCGACGGGAUGAAGCGCCGCCGUUCGUCGUCUCCUCCGUAAAAAAAACAGCCAAGCCGUAGCACUCGAUGGGAUGAAGCGCCGCCGUUCGUCGCCCACACCACGCGCGCUCGCCAUCCGCUCGCCCUUGGGAGCUCGCUGCCCGCUCGCCCAAGCGCGUUCGCCUAUGCGCGCUCGCUGCCCGCUCGCCGUCGUCUGCAUCUACGCGCUCACCGUCGCGAAAAGGUCGGCGAGGUGCAGGGAUGUCGACGCCGCGGCUGCGUCCACACGCGCUUGCCGUCCGCUCGUUUCCAUCCGCUCGCCCACGCAUGCUCGCAGCCCACUCGCCGCCGUUCGCUCGCCCACGCGCGCUCGCUGCCCGCUCGCUGUUGUCCGCAUCUACACGCUUGCCGUCACAAAAGGGCCGGCGAGGUGCAGGGAUGUCGACGCCGCGGCUGCGCCCACACGCGCUUGCCGCCCACUCGUUUCCGUCCGCUCGCCCACGCGCUCGCCGCCGUCUGCUCGCCGCCGUCAGCACCUAAGCAGACGCCAAGGCCGACGAGGUGUUGAGACGUCGGGACGGACUCGGGAGCGGCACAUAACUACCUCAAAUCCAAGUUCGACACAGACUUCCCUUCUUCAAUGUCUUUCUAUGGUAAGUUUGAAUCGAAUCGAAAUUGGAAUCGAAAACAAAAACACCUCGGAUUAGAAAAUAUCGUUCCUCUCUGUAUCUUACCUAUAUAUAUAUAUAUAUAUAUAUAUAUAUAUAUAUAUAUAUAUAUAUAUUAAAGGUUCUUGUUUUACUUGAUUUCACAGAACGUCUCGCAUACAAUCUCCUCCAGCAGAGUCCAGUCGUAUUGGCCAACAUAGUUGGACGACGAACGGCAAGAAGCCACCAACUCGGCACCCUCAUCGCGCCGCUGAGCAUCGACGUCAAGUGCACACUGAUCGUCCAGGUAUUUAACUGUGUACUCCCAUAUAACCAUGGAUUGAUGUGAUCUAUGUGAUUGAAAAAUACAGGGGAUCUAUUUUGAGAGACUUCUUGUCUGUUUAAUGAUGUAAGAGAGUAUUGCUGAUUUUUUAUAGCUGCUGAAGGUGGCUCUAUGAUGCUUCUCAAUAAAGCUGUGGUAGUGCAAUUGAGUUAUGUUGGCUGAUUAAAUUUUUUUGGCUGUUUUUUAAUAGAAAAAAAUGGAUCAUAAUGUUGGGUCAAGCAAUGAUGAGAAUUCUGAUGUUCGACACUUAAAGAAAGCAAAGAUGAGUGAAGAAAAACUUUCAGAUGAAAAGACAAUGGCAUCGCCAACCAGAGAGACAUUGUCUUCAGAUUCUAAAUUGAUAGAUAAGCAAGUGAGAGAAGAAAAACUUCCAUUGGAUGACGAACAACAACCAAAAGAACAAAACGAUGUUGUUGAUACAUAUGACUAUCUACCACAAGGUAUUUUUUUCAUUUAUAUAUAUGUUCUUUUUUAUAUAGUCUUUCAAUUAUAGUAGCAAGGAUAUAAAGCUAAUCCAUAUUUAAUUAUAUGCAGAUUAUACAUUGACCAAUAUGGACUUAUGUGCUCAAAUAUUAAUUGAAACAUCUUCAAAAGACGACUUACUGGUGAAGAUUGAUGAAAUAUCUGUGAAACAACAUCAGUUAUUGUGCCUCCUAGACCAAGGCAAAUGGUUAGACGAUGAUGUGAGUCUCCUAUCUAUCCCUAAUAAUAAAGAGGCAAAAUUUCAGCCUUACAAUUUUCCCGUUAUUAAUAUUAAUUUUAAUGUAUUUUAAACUAUUUGUAGGUGAUCAGUGCUUAUAUAUGUUGCAUAAGAGAUCAAGUACAUCUGCAAAAUAUGGAUAAUGCUAAGAUAUAUUUUCAAAAUCCCUUCAUUACUGGACUGUUUAAAAGGGAUGGCAACAUUGGUGUACAUGAAGAUAGUACUUUUAUUACAGAAAUUGUUAGAAAAUAUCUUGAGCAUGAAAUGGUAACAUAUAUCUCCAUUGUCAAUUAUUUGGAUUAGUAGAUUCUCAGUUCCUAAUUUUAUACAUCUGUAACUAAUCUAUUAACUUUAUUUUAGAUUUUUCUGCCAAUAAAUAUCAAAGACAAUCAUUGGUAUUUAGCUGUUUUGAACGCAAGAAAGUCUGAGAUUCAAGUACUCGAUUCAUUGUGUUGGAAAUUCAACCGUGCUGACCUCACUAUUAUGGUUUGUUUCUAUAGCUCAAAUACCUCUUAAAUUUUUUUAUUAAUUAAUCUGUUCAUUAAGUUUUGGACGAUUUCUGAUCAUUUGAUUAUUUAUACAGUUACAAGGACUACAAUAUCAUUUGGACAUUCUUGAAAGUCAGCAAAACUUGAUUAAACAUGUUUGGAAAGAUCUUCAUGUUACUAAAUGGAAAGUCAGAGAAAAACUACAAGAACCAAUUCAGAAAGACAGGUAUAUAUAAAAACACAUAUUUCCAAGUGAUUUUGUGGUUUAUUUAUGUUGACUACUAAAUUUUAUUUUAACUAUUCAGUUCAUCUUGCGGCCUAUUUUUGCUCAAAUUCAUGGAAUAUUGGACUGGAGAUACACUAUCUCAUCCAAUUACACAGGUAUAUAUGUCUCUUAUUUUUGGUGAUUGACAUGUAAUUAAGUAAUGUUUAUGUAUUGAUAUAUAUUUGUACCGCACAGGAAAGUAUUAAUCUUUUUAGGUACAAAUUAGCCGGUAUAUUGUCAUGCUGGAAAUCAAAUACAGCACCACUGUUGACAAACUUCCAGGAAAAUCUUGACAAUAAGUCAAAUCCUGAUGAUGUUAUAAUAUUGGAAAGUGCAAAUGUUGAAAAGAAUUCAAAAGCAAUGUGCCCAUUGUCUAUUGAAAAUAAAUACUACUCACUAAUGUCUAUUCUUUCUAAGAUGGGCAUACGUGAGUUAGUAGGUGGCCUUUGUGACUACAUCAAAUCAAUUAAUUGUCCACAAACUUUGGAGUAAGCGCCAUUUCACAUUAUUAAUUCAUUUUUUAUAAUUGAAUUGUAUUGACUGCAUGCAUUAUCUUAAUUUCAUUAUGUUUGAUAGGAAAGUUUGGGUGCAAAACUGCAAACCAUAUUCCAUUAGCUUGACUCUCAAGAAACUGCAAGAAAUUCUAAACCAUGAUAUGCCCAUGGACAUAGAUACUUUUAAUUUGGUUGUUCCAAAACAUAUGCUUGAUGACAUCCAAAUGGUGAAGAAUCAAAGAGGAAUGAUAUCAAAGCAUUAUCUAGACUUGCAAUUUUGGGUAUGUUCUUACUCUGUGUGUAUAUAUAUAUAUGUACUUUUUAUCACCUUUAUAAACACUUAUUUUAUAUUAUAAAUGUAGGCAAAAUUUCAGCCAAAAUUUUGGUCUAUAAAAACUUUCGUCUGGCGGAGAGCCGCGCGUACGCGAUCUGUCAGCCGGCGUCGGCCGCCCACAACCGCCUCUGAGUUGGCUCGUCGCCGGACGGGCGGCUCGUCACCGCCGACACCUGCUCGGAGCUGAACCUCCUGAACCCAGUCACGGGCGCGCAGAUCUGCUUCCUGCCCGCCGCCACGCUCUCGUUCGUCGACGCACGCCGUGGCGCGGACGGCCACAUCGAGAGCUACGGCCUGCAGUUCUCCUUCUUCGACGGCGGUGGCAGCGGCUGCGGCGAGGAGGAGACGCUGGUAUCGCCGAAGACGCUCGUGCCCGACAGGCUCCGGUUCGAGGUGUACGAGAAAGCCGUCAUCGUGUCGGCGUCGCGGAGGUGUGGCACCUCGGCCUCCUCCUGGGGCGGGUACGCCGUGCUGCUCAUCUGUCAGCUCUUGAGCCGCCUCGCUGUCGCGCGGGCCGAAAACGCGGAGUGGCGCUCCUCGACGCCCACGCGCCGGGCGGUGCUGGGUGGACGCGGUGCGCUUGUCGUCGUCCUCCGGCGCGGACAGGACCUGGCGUGACCAUCAGCCGUGGGAGCCCUGGCCGGAGCACGUGGAGGACACCACCACGGGCGUCGAGUUCUUCGAGUGGACGGCCGCCGCCGGCCGAUGGGCGCGGGUGGAUGGUCGCGUCGUCCUGGGCGGGCGUGCGCUUUUCCUCGGGAAGAGCGCGUCGUUGUGCGUCCCGGCGGACGACGCCGGGGUGAGGGCGACUGCGUCUAGUUCACCGACGACAGGUCGUGGACGCAUGACCGGUGCCACGAGGUGCCGUCGGACGUGGGCGUGCUGGACCUCACCGACGAGAGCUACAGGCCGUCGCGCGGCGCCACCAGGACCUGCUCUGGAAGUGGCCGCCCCCGGUUUGGGUGUUCCCUUCGCUCGCCGGCUGAUUGAUCCGCGCUUCUAAAGUCUGAAUCUUGGAAACUUCCGUGACGAAUCUAUGCGUAGAGAUGCUCUUCAAUUUCUCAGAAAACAGCGGCUCAACUUGUCAUUGACAUGCUGCAACUCCAACCUGUGUGCAUGCGUACAACGAGUAGUUCUGUAGAUUAAUGAGGAUUGCGUUGAAGAACACGUGUAAGUUGUAACAAAGGUCAAUUUAUUUGUUGACCUCUUGCACUGACACGCUGUUGGCUGUGAAAACCCUGCAAUAAUAGAUAAAUAGAUGUUGUUUUUAAAAAGAAAGAUAAAUAUAUAUAUCUAUAUCUACCUCUAUACCUAUAUAUACCUAAUACUAAAGAGGCAAAAUUUCAACCUCAAAUUACUAAAAAGCAAAAAUUUAGACAAAAUUUUUGCCGGGUCUGGAUCAGGGAGGAGGAUUGGGGGAGAGGAGCCAGGUGGGCGCAGAGAGGACGUGAGGGUGCAAUGCGAUGCGGGUGCGUCGCGAGCCCAUCGACAGGUGUGGUUUGCACGGCGCAAGACGUGAUGCCGUUCAUGAAUAUCUUUUUCCAUCCACAAGCAAGGCCUCGUUUACUUGCGAAAACUUUUUAGAAUUUGCUACUGUAGCACUUUCAUUUUUAUUUGACAAAUAUUGUCUAAUCAUGGAGUAACUAUGCUUAAAAGAUUUAUUUCGUGAUUUACAGCCAAACUGUGCAAUUAGUUUUUGUUUUCAUCUAUAUUUAAUGUUCUAUGUAUGUGCCAUAAGAUUCGAUGUGACAGGGAAUCUUGAAAAGUUUUUAGUUUUUUGUGGGAAUUAAACAAGACAUAAGUUUAGCUUUUGAUGACAUUAUGUUAUACAGAUAUCGUGGUUAUAAAAAUUGUUAAUUUCUUUCUCCCGUUGCAACGCACGGACACUUUUCCUAGUAGGUUAUAAUAUAACAAAAUAAAAAGGAAAUAAAAAAUAACUAAAGUAAAGGGUAACAUGUUGGAUCGGAUAGCAUAACCGUGGAAUCGUUGUACAAGAGUUGGGUUCUAAAGGUUGUGAAGAUAAUUUGUCUACAAUAAAAGUUUAUAAAAAGAUAUAUUGAAAAUUAUGAUAAUAAAUUAUGUUUCAUCCACGAAAUAUUAUAUGCUCAAAGGUUGUGAAUAUAAUUUUGUAACAUUUAAAAAUGAAUAUUUUUUCCAUAAAACACUGAUGGGUUUUAUCUGUCGGCUCGUCGCUGGUCUUGAAGUCCGAUAAAAUUCGCCAAUUUGUUUUUUUUUUAAAAAAAAACUGUAUUUAGGUAGUGCUGCUAGUCUUGCACUGGGACACUCUGACACCGAUUUGAGGAAUUCCCCGAUUUGAUCAUGUAGGGAGAGAUGGGCUUAAUGAGCCACUCGCGGCACUUGGCCCAUGGAUUCAGCCCAUACAAGGAAUCCAUCAUCUCCUUCCUCCACUCCACCGGUCCACCCGAAAGAGCCUGAGAGCUUUCCGUGUUGGCCGCCGCGGGUGCGAGCGAAGUCCAUAGAGCGAGCCGUCGUCCUCUCCCCUCCCCCUCCCCCUCCCCGCCCCCGCCGCCAUGCUGCAACUCCGAAAUCGCUUCCUCCCUCUGCUCCGCGCCGCCUCCACGCUACACUCCCCAAUCCACCCCCGCGCGUGCCGCCUCCUCCUCUCCACAUCCACCUCCACCACCCUCCCCGCGGCCUUCUCCCUCGAGGACUACCUCGUCGCUGCCUGCGGCCUCGCCCCAGCCCAAGCCCGCGAGGUGUACAAGAAGGUGUCCCGCGAGUUGCUAUCCAUUGGAUACAAGAGAUCAUUGGAGCUCUCCAACUCCCGUCUCACCUCUGCCUCCAACCCUGAUGCUAUCCUCGCCCUGCUCUCCGGCGCCGGUCUCUCCCGCGCCGACAUCGCCGCCGUCGUAUCCGCAGAUCCGCUUCUCCUUCGCGCUUCCGCGAAGAACAUCGCCCCCCGCCUUGUUGCUCUUCGAGACCGGGUCGGUCUGUCUGCUCCCCAGAUUGCUCGCUUCCUCGUGGUCGGCGCACGCGCACUCCGCCGGGGCGACGUCUCUUCCAGGCUAGAGUUCUUCAUCUCCUUCUACGGCUCGUUUGAGAAGGUGCUGGUGGCCCUAAAGAGGAAUAGAGUCCUCCUCAAUAUGAGCCUUGAGAGGAUAAUCAAGCCUAACAUAGCUUUGCUUUGUCAGUGGGGUGUUCGAGAUAUUGUCCAGCUGUGUUCAAACAACACGCGGUUGCUUAACUUCAAGCCAGAACGCGUCAAGGAGUUUUUGCUGCGGGCGGAACAGCUUGGGGUGCCACGAACUUCACGGAUGUUUAGGCACGUGGUGUCGGUCGUCGCCGGUAAUCCCAAAGAGAAGGUUGCUGCCAAGCGUGAGUUCUUUAAGAGGACCCUCGGUUGUUCUGAGUCUGAGGUUUCCUCUGCAGUAUCCAAGAUGCCAGCUAUAUUAGGGUUCUCUGAUGAGAUUCUUCUCCGCAAAAUUGAGUUCCUUGUCAAUGAAGUUGGGGUGGAGCCACAAUACAUUGUUCAAAGGCCUGUCCUGUUGGCAAUGAGCCUGGAGAAGAGGCUAAUGCCGCGGCAUUAUGUCAUGAAGGUCCUGCGGGAAAAGGGUUUGCUGGAUAGUAGAACGGGCUUUUCAACAUUCGUUAAAUUUGGAGAUGAUGCUUUCAAAUUGAGGUUCAUUGACUGUCACGAGGACUCUGUUCCUGGCCUUGCAGAUGCUUAUGCUACAGCUCGUGCUGGUAUUGUGCCCAGUGAUCUCUGACUGCUCAUAGACCCUCAAUUCUGAUCUCUGCAGUAGAAUCACCAGUGAUCUUUGACUUGUUGUAGACAAAGUUUAAGUUAUGGUUAUUUAUGGAGGAGCUGGGUCUGGCUUGUUCUAGAGGCUCACUGUGCAUGUUUGUUGGUUUCUUGUUCUGCCUAGCUCAUUGCUGAAGAUUAUCUUACUGAUUGUUCUAUGAAUAAGUCUGUAUUGGGCAACUCAUUACGCUAUUCGGAAUCUGACAGUAAGCCGCUUUUCCUGGUAUCUAACCAAUUUUUAUUAGCAUAUUUUAUUCCAACUGAUGUUUCACCUAGCUCCCACUAGCUGAAUGAUUUUUUUUCCUAGUAAUGCUUACAUUGUACAUGACUGAGGCUGAACUAGUAGGUUCCAGGUAGUAGCCUAAAGUGUUUCUGAGAAGAAACUCUUUGGAACAAUUUUGUAAAGCCCGUGUUGUGAGGAGCAAUGAAAUAUUCUAACAAAUGUUUUGGGUGCCAUGGACGUUCUGCCCAUGUGCAAAAGAUGGUUGUCUGUUUGGCUUGUGAGGGAAUGAGAUGCUAACAGCUGAAAAUAAAUGGCAAGCUGUAAGAGAGACGCUGGACUUCGUAUGAGAGGACACUAAUUUAGCAUAGGGAGAAUAUAUACCUUUUAUAAUUUAUAGUUAACCAAUUGUUCUUAAAUCUAAGUCUCAAAAUCGUUUAUUACCAUUUUUUUUAGUUUUGUGAUUUUAAGGAGUUCCUCUUGAAACAUUUCUACUUUUAUAGGAUGUGGAUGAUACAUAGCAGGCAUGGUACUAUUUAAAAGGUUCUCCUUCAUAUAUGUCAUAUAGCAUGCAUUCUGGGUUCACAUGAGCUCACAUGAUGGAUGUUUCUGCACUAAAUAAACAGAAAUUUUGUCCAUCAAUAGUUGAAAUAAGGAACAUACUGGAAUAACGUCUUUGCAGUAUUGUUCCAACUUCUAAUCAAAAUUAAACACAAUCUGUGGAACUUAGUUUUGAUGAUCAAUAAUCCUUACUUCCAGACAUCAGUUUCCAGAAAUUCUCUUGAACUUGUGUUUCUCAACAGCCCAUGCCUGUGUACUUGAAAAUGCCAAUACUUUACAGACAUGAAAAUUUCGAGUUAUUGUACUUGUUCACAUUGUUAACCCUCAUGAUCCUCCCAGAAAUCUUAGCCCAUUCAGAUUAUAUGCAGCAUUUGACAAUUGGCCAAACAAAAAAAUUAGGACUUGAUAGCAAAGAAUCAAUUAAAACUGCAUCCAAUAGCGAACAAAUAACAAUCAGAGAGAAUUCGCACUCCCCAACUGCUGAAACCAUUUGGCAAUUUCUCAUUUGUUUGCAAAUUUGAUUCAAGUUCAGGGAGGAAUGAAUGUUUUCCACUCAUGCAUUUGUACAAAUUCAAGGAAAUGCUAGGAGACAGAGAAUCAAUGAAUCAUCAAUCGCUUAUGCCCACACUCGCAUCUUUGUGAAAAAUCGAUCCAUCAGAUUUGUUGCUAGGAUGUGAAAACGAGGGUAUAGAACUGGAAGUGCAGCAUUUGAGCUAUCUUGUGUACCUCAUGAAAAAGAACUGAGAAUUCAGGUCAUGACUGAUGAGAUAGUGUUGUGCGUGCUUUCAGUUAUAUUACAGUAGGAAAUUGUUGGAAAGGGAACAUGUGGACUAUAGGUAGAAUUAGUAUUUUGCACAAUGUCGGCUAAUCAAUUUUUAGUCUGUAGAAAUGUCUUGAAACAGGGCAUAUUGUUUGUUGAUUCUUGUCAUGCUGCUCCGUUUUUCUUGUAUAAAUCUUGAUAAGACAGAGGGAGAGAGUUACCCUUCUGAUCUUUCUGUGUGAUGAUCUCGAAUCCAUCUUCUGAUGGGCCAUAGUUUUCUAACACUUAUCUGUCGUAUCGUAUUUGUGAAUCAUGCCAGGCUACUGCUUACUGCAGAAUCUGCAGUCUGAAUAACGUAUGCAAACAGUUAAGAUGAUGCAUGUCAAAUCCUUCACAGCACAAUAAAAAUCACGUUAGGGCACGUUCGUUUGGCAGGGAACCAACCUUGGGAUCUAUUCCUACCAGGAAUACUUCACUAGUUUAUACUAGUUUUGAUCAGCUGGAAGGUUUUCUGGUUGGAUUUCACCCCACCAAACCUAAGGGGAAACGUACGAUAUUAGUGUUCGAACUUCAGAUGAUGGGAUGAUAAGUCUGUGGCCAUUGAGUUCCUGCAUGACGCGAUGAGAGGCUGAGAGGAGGUCCCAUUGUCACCAAAGCAGGCCCUUGUUUAGUUUGCAAUUUUUUUUAGGUUUUGGGUAUUGUAGCAUUUUUGUUUGUAUUUGAUAAAUAUUGUCCAAUUAUGGAUUGUCUAGGCUCAAAAAAUUCGUCUCGCAAAUUAUAGGCAAAUUGUGCAAUUAGUUUUUGUUUUUAUCUAUAUUUAUUGCUUCAUGCAUGUGUCUAAAGAUUUGAUGUGACGAGAAAUCUUGAUUUUCUUUUGGGGUUUUUGGGAGAAACUAAACAAGACCUCAUUUGUAUCCGCUCUAGCUGAAUAUCAAUUUGCCCUUUUGCAAGAGCAUCCUCUGAAUAGCAAUUCACCUACAGUAUUGGUGCCACCAAUGAAAAUUUGCUGGCAUAUGUGGUAAUGAAAAUCCAGGUGGUGAUAUAUCAUCCCUGGUGAUCUCCCAAAAAAUGAUCACCGAUGAGCUGAGAGCCAGUGAAGCAAGUUGAAUCAAAUCCACUGGAAAUUUGGAUGUAACACAAAUUAAUGCUGAACGCAUUCAUGUUGAUUGUGUUUUUUUUUGCUCUGAAAAGUUUUCAAAAACAUAUUUAGAAAUCUAUUAUAAUUCUUUAUGAAUUCUCUAGAUGUUUCCUAUUUUUAGAGCUAACAUUAUUUUUUAAAUCUAUAGAUAUUUUUCAUGAUAUCUAAAUAUUUUAUUUAUAUUUUUCAUAUCCCAAUCUAUCUAAAAAAACUGGGAGAAGUUUAGAGAUUUUGUUUGUAGUUUUAAAAAAGAUAUAAGUGUUGACUGUUUUUUAGGGAAAAAACAAACAAACCGCCUUAGCCACUUCAAAACAGGAUACGGAGGUAAAUUAAACGGUUUUAAGACUAUCUCGAAAAAUAAGACCUAAAAUACAAGACUUAUUUAUUUGGGUAGUGCUACAGACAAAAAGUUUAAUACCCAUUCAACAUCUUCUCCAACAAAACCCAAAAGAGAAUCCUUUCUGUAAAUGGAUUUCUAAGAGAGAGAAUAUACUCAUAUUUGGUUUGUGUCUCUCGGGUAACCCAAAAUAUAUCUCCUAUAUGGGUACUCUAUUAAAGAUUGAUUUUAGGUUUUCUGCUACCCAUUUUGGAUAUGGGUGCCCAUAUAGGUGUCCUUUUGGAGAAACUCUUAUUAGAGAUUAUGAGUAAGAUGCUUGGCUUUGAAGUUCAUCAUUUUAAGGGUGAAGUUCGGGAAACCAUCAUAAUGGAUGAUGUUUAUCGGAAUCUCACUUUUAUAAUGACACUUGCAUCCUUAGCAGUUUUAAGUCACGUGUCUUUUAUUUUUACCACAUUUGUCUAUGUGGCACGCCAGGUUGGCCUGACACAUUGGCACACAGUCGGUAUGGGCAUGCAAAAUGACAUCGGUACCCCCGCCCAUUCUUUCACUUAGCCGCGCCAGGUCCGCCCUAGCCUGCUCAAAGAGAGUAGAAUAUUUAAAUUUUCUUGGUGUUGCAGCUAAGUGAAAGAAUGGGCAAGGGCAGUGAUCAUUUUGCGUGUUCAUGUUGAUUGUGCGCCAGCGUGUCAAGUCGAUUUGGCGUGUUAUAUAGACAAAUAUGGUAAAAAUGAAAGACACAUAUCUUAAAAGUUAAAACUGCUAAAAAUAUGAGAAUAAUUAUAAAAAUGAGAUUGAGGACUAAAACGGACGUUUUGAAAGUUCAAGGAUAAAAUCGAGCCUCGAGUAAUAGUUGAGGGACCAAAAUGGCUAUUCUGCCAAAUAAAUGGGAAGAAGUUGUAAGGGAGACUUCUUCAUAUGUGAGGAUACUAAUUUGUUGUUCUUUCAUAUUUUUUUCCACAAAACAUAUAGAUAAAGAAUAUAACCUUUUAUAGCCAAUGUUCUUAAAUCAAGUCUCAAAAUCGUUUAUUACCAUUUUUUAGGUUUGUGCUUUUAAGGAGUUUCUCCUUAAACAUUUCUACAUGAUAGAUAGCAGGCAUGAUACUCGGUUAUAAGAUUCUCUUUUUAUAUAUGCCAUAUUAUGCAUUCUGGGUUAACAGCAGCUCACAACGGUCUGUAGGAGUGGAAUUACCGCAUGAUCCUACAGUUAAUGGAUGUCUCUGCACCAAAUAAAUAGAAAUUUGUCAUUAAGAUUUUGAAAUAAAACAUAUAAUAACAUCUUUGCGGUAUUGUUCCAAUCAAAAUUAAACACCGUCUUACCUUAGUAAAAUACUUCUGAUGAUCAGUAACACUACCUUCCAGACAUCAGUUUUCAACAUUCUCAACAGCCCAUGCUUGUAGACAGAAAAUGCCCAUGCUUGACAUGAAGAUGCCCAUGUUUACGGACAUGAAAAUUGAGUUAUUGUACUUGUUCACAUUGUUAACCCUCAUGAUCCUCCCAGGAAUCUUAGCCCCAUUCAGAUCAUGUGCAGCAUUUGCCAAAUGGCCAAAAAAAAAGAGGAUUCGUUUGGAAAGAGAUUUAAGUUCAGGAGUAAAUGAGUAAUGAAUCUUUCCCACUCGUUCAUUCGUUCGGUAUACAAAAUUCAAGGAAAACACUAGGAGGCAGGAAGGGAGGAGAAUCGAUCGAUCAUCAACCGCUCAUGCCCACGCUCGCUUCUUUGGGAUAAGAUCGAGCGUCUUGACUUUAUCUAUCCUGGCGGCGACGAUGUAGUCGUUGACGGUGAGGCUGUCGCCGGCGGCAGAGGGCGUGGAGAGCUCGGCCGUCACCUGGUUGGGUGCCUCGAACACCAGGGCCGCCGGGGCGUGGCCGGCGCCGUCGAGCGCGGCGUUGAUCCUGGCGAUGAGCUCCUGGCCGCAGAGCUCGUCGCGCACCUUCCAGACGCACUGCAGCCGCGCGGGCCGCUGCUCGUCGCCGUCGCCGUCGGAGAGGACCAGCCUCCAGCCGACGACCUUGAAGAGGAGCUUGCGCGCGUCGUCGAGGGAGAGCGGCUCCGCGUCGGGCUGCAGCGGCAGGCUCGCGAGGGAGAGCGCGGAGAGGGUGGGGAUGAGGAUCUGGUGGAGCGUGUCGACGUUGCCCAGCACCUUCUCCCCAAACUGGCUCUCGAUCUCCUCCGGGAAGGGGUCGCGCGCGCCAAGGUCGCCCAGCAGGUCGGCCAUCGCCACCACGCAGCCGCGCGGCCUCCUGCUCCGGUGAGGCCGGAGGAAGCUUGCGCUGCUGCAGCGGCAUGUGGCGGUCGCGGGUGCAGCUGCUGGCGGGGCGAGGGAGAGCCUGAGCGCCAUUGGAUUUGGUGGAAACGGACAACGGAGCAAUGGAUGGCUGGCAGUGGCCGUAGCUGGGAAUGGAUAGUGGCGGGGGUUGCCUUCUUAAACCUCUUGUCGUCUUCUUCCAGCUUCUACUACAGUAGUCCCUUCUGCAACUCCAACGCCACUCAUUCUUGUCAUCUACUUCCUCCAUCCCAAAUUGAAAAAAAGUCUAAUAUAACCCCCUCACAUAUUAGGGAUAAUCUACAUAAUUCUCUGAACUUUAAAACCAGAUAUUUUACACAUUAAACAUUUUAAAAACCGGACAAAUAACCCUCUGAGUGGUUUUGCAUAUGUCAGUACGCCACGCUGUCUAUCUUUGAUGACAUGGCCUCUAGGGCUCUUGGCAGCAUGCUGAAGGGAAAAAAAUCGUCUGUUUUUCUCGUUUGGGUGGCGCGCGGGACUGUGAGAGGCUGGCGAGCGGAGCAUUGAGCGGGGACGGAGCAUCUUGCGGCGGCCAGUGGCUGCGCAUCUUGCUUGUUGGCUUGCUGCGGUGGCCAGCUGCGGCACGCAGCAACUGCGAUCAGAGAUUCAGAGGCAGGGGAGACAGGCUGCGACGGGUGACGCGGUUGCGGCAAUCCUUCGGUGGAUCAGCACUUGCGGCAGCGAUGGUGGUGGCAUGGUGCUGGCCCAGGAGGUGGUGGUAGCAGGGCAAGCACCAAACGGGUUGGUCGCGGAGCUAGACUUCGGGAUAGGGUACGAGGGCUUCCUGGACCACGGCCACAACUGCAUCGACGUCCUCGUGAAGUCGUGAAGCACCUCGGCAAGUGGGCAUGAAGACGUGCUCGGCGCUGCGUGUCCGGGCGCCAGGGAGCUCUGCAACCUGGCCAAGUGAGCCGGUGGGGGCGCCGCACGUCUGUGGAGUCCGCAGCGCUCGCGCUCGCUAUGGUCGCCACACGCGUGUCCGCUGAAGGAGGCGACGGGCCGGAGCAGAGACGCCGGCGGGAGGCGCAGACGCCCGCAUGCCUGCGCUGAAGGAGGCGACGGGAGCACGGGGCCAUCUGGAUGCUCGGUGUUGCCCUGCCCGCGUAGGUGGAAGGAGGUCGCGGCGUUGCCCAGAAACACCGGAACGAUGACGACGAGUUCACGCUCCACACGGCAGUCGUUGCCUUCCGGCAGCGCAACAGCCGACGGGCCAAACCCCGGGCCUCCCGGACGCCGGACAUGGCCAAGCUGUUCAAAACUUCGAAUCCGGGAGUCCGAGCAGUUCAUGGUGUACUACAAAAUUAAGUGUUGUAGUGGUCUGACACAGCGUUGAGUGCCUCCCCCCGACUUUUCAUUUCACCUCCUGUUGCCUUCUUGCUACUAGUCGCUGCGUGCGUCCUCUGAUCCAUCCAUCCAUCUUCUCUUCACAUGGAUCAUGGCGACAUGGAGAAAAGCAAUUGAUGGCAUUGUUGGUUGUGUUCUGCUGCUGCUCCUGCUGUAGCAGAUGAAGGAGCCAUCUGCAGGUCGGGAUUUGCAGCAAGCCGCAGUUCGCUCCGUCCACCGGACAGGCUCAGAUGGUGCGGACCAAGACAGACCACAGGGAUUCCACGGGAAUUUUCGGAAUGGGCGACCGAGAUGGGCGUAUAAAGCAAGUGCUGAACGCGCGGGCGGAGUCAUGCGUGCCGCAUCGCCGUUCGUUCAGCAUGCUCAGGCUGUCCGCCAGCAGUGCGGGUGGCCAGGUCGGAGAAGACCUAGGCGGGGUCAGCCAGAAGAUGAAGAGCAGGAGCUGUCAUCCAGGCUGACAGGUGGGCCUGUAUGCCACAUCAUCAAAACCAGCCAGCAUGGAGCGCCACGUAUGCAAAACAACUUUGCAAAACCACCCUAGGGGUUUAUUUAUCCGGUUUUACAAAGUUUAGUGUGUAAAAUACCUGGUUUUAUAGUUUAGGGGAUUAUAUAGACCCAGCUCAAUAGGUUGGGGGUUAUAUAGACUUUUUCCAUCCCAAAUUGUAAGUCAUUUCAAGAAUUUUGGAGAGACAAACUUUUCUAAGUUUGACCAAAUUUAUAUUAUAACAUAAUAAUUAUUAUGGUACUAACUAAGUAUCGUUAGAUUCUUUCUUAAUUAUAUUUUCAUAGUAUACUCACUUUACGUUACAAAUCUUAGUAUUUUUUAUUAUAAUUUUGAUCAAACGUGAAAAUGCUUUAACUUUUCAAAAUUUUUAGAAUGACUUAUAAUUUGGGAUGAGGGAGUACCGUAGUACUUCCUGCUUCUACUCCCUGUGAUCUGGCUGUACUUCCUGCUUCUACUCCCUGUGAUCUGGCUUCUUCUGGCUGGGAGCUAUCGAGCUCUCAUGUGUCGACAUGCAUUAAUGAAACAGAUUAAUAGCUUGUUUACGGAUGGUUCAAUUCUGAGGCCUUGUUUAGUUUAUCCCAAAAACCAAAAACCAAAAAAUUUUCAAGAUUCUCUGUCACAUCGAAUCUUUUGACAUAUGCAUGAAGUAUUAAAUAUAGAUAAAAAUAAAAACUAAUUACACAGUUUAACUAUAAAUCGAAUCUUUUGAUUCUAGUUAGUCCAUGAUUAGAUAAUAUUUGCCACAAACAAACGAAAGUGCUACAGUAGCGAAAUUCAAAAUCUUUUCGCAUGUAAACAAGGCCUGAAUACAUACACACAUCACCGCACUGAGAUUUGAGGGCACAAACAUAUUGUUUAAUAAGUAGCAUAUUAUACAUAACUCCAAAGUGCAGUUCAACUGCUUGACAAGCAGGUACAGUACAGACUGAAUAGGUACAAUUCCACAAUGCUUUAGAAAUCCCUACUACACAUUAUCCAGAAGGGGACUUUGACAUAUACUGUAUCAGAAUCCAGAUGUCCAAUAUCAUGAUCAUGACUUCUAUUUACAAAACCAUGCUGUCUGUUACAUGAUGCUAUAGUGUCAUAUUUGCACUACACCACCAAGGGGUAGGCUCUCUUACCACAUUACAUUGGGCACUGUGGAACGAUCUAUUAGAGCUCUGAUGAUAAACCAGAGGACAAUGAGGCCCUGCUGGUGAGAGCAGGCCUCAUCGUCACCAAAGCAGAUUCAUUUGCACCAGCUCUCAAAGCAAUCCGACCAGCUUCCAGGAAUCUGGCGACAGCAUCCUCUGCAUAGCGGUUAGCUUUCCCGACAGUCAUGGUCCUGCCAAUAUCUGGGUACGUGUUCAGUACAUGAUCACCGUUAAGCUGUGAGGCAAGUUGAAUCAACUCCACUUGAAAUUCCGAGAGAGAUGAAUCUUCCUUGGGACCAAAUGGUCGCAGUGACUUUGUCACCUCGGGCAGCUUCUCUGUUUGGGAAAAAAGAGUAUGUGAACACAGAUUCCAGGAGCAGAACAUGCUACAGUAUUAGUUAACCUUCGUUUUUAUUAAAAAUUUAUUGACGAAGUACCGACAUGGCAGGUAUAGUGCAAAAAAUGUCAUAAUUAUUAUUCCAUUGGCAUAACACUUAUACCAAACUACCAUAAAUAUGUACCUGGACAGUCAGUUCUUGGUGUUUUCCGGAUUUUAAGGUAGUUCUCAAAGGUCCCAGCCCAUGCGUCUCUCUUUGUCAGAAAGUUAGAAUGUAAAUUGAAUAGCUUCUUUACUGUUGCAGGAAUGGAUGAAUGCUCAUAUUGCGAGGUUUCCUGUGGACCAUUCGGUGCAUGAAUCACUGCACAAAUGAAAAGCAAGGUCAUUAUAAUACUGUGAGAUGGAAAAGCAGGUGUGAACUCUGCUGAUAAAAACAUGCAGCUCAAUAUUUCCUUGGAAUAAUGGAAGCAUAACUUCCUGAUGAGUAGGCUUAGAAAAUGGUUGAAGUUCCUAACUUCGUUAACCUCAAUAUAAGGAUAAUCAAGACACCAAGAUAGCAUAACAGGCAGCUCAGCCCUCUUUCAUGAGAAUGGUCUAAGUUAUAACUAAUAACAAACUCUCCACAUAGACUGCUGCUUGCCAGACAUAAAGGAUGUCUCCACAAUAACAAUAAGUCGAUGUAGAAAGUCUGAAUUUUAUUCAGAUAGUUGAUAAAUUCUUUGCAGUGCUACUUCCUAUACAUAUAUUAAACCUGGCAGCUGAAAGACUAAAUUAAUUUGCUCAUCAACAGCUACUAGUAGCAGGAAAAUUACAGCGUCCUCUACACUGAAACACUGGAUGUUUCUGAGCUAAAUCUACAGCAAAGUUGUCCUUAUAAAAUGUUGAUAAGAAUCCAAUGAUGUUAAAACAUUUGUACUACGCUUCAAUCAAAAUAAAACACAAUCUGACCUUGAAAAUUAAUUCCUACCUGAAACUAAUUUAAAUCAAUAGUACCUAUUGCCAGGCAUCACUUUUUUUCAGAAUUCUAUUGAACUUUUGUAUCUCCGUAUGCCAUGCUUUACUGGCAUGAAAAUUAAGAAUUCAAUGCAAGGAGUACUCACCAGUGCCCUUCUCGAUCCAAGGUGAGAUGAGAAAGGUGGGAACACGCACCCCAAGCCGUUCGAACUUGAAGUAGUAUGGAUCAGGCCCAACUAUUCCAUCAGGUUGGGGCACUCCGACAACCGGUGUAGGGACAUGGUCGUAGAAUCCGCCAUGCUCAUCGUAUGUGAUAAUCAGGGCCGUCUCGUUCCACUGAGGACUGGCCCUCAGUGUCUCAUACACCUCUUUCACGAACCUCUGUCCCCUUGCCACAUCAUGUGACGGAUGAUCAUCGUUUGCUGGGAACAUCUCGCAAUCAAAGUACCUCUGCUCAAUCACCACAUAAUUUGGCAGCUUCCCCAACUUGGCGUGCAGCUUGAAUUUAAGGCUGUACUGGUGGAACUUGACGAGGUGCUUUAGGCGGCGGAGGCUCUGGUAGAAGAGCGUGGCCGGGAUGUUCUGGUAGUAGAUGCCAAAAGACAAGCCGUUCUCCUCGAGGCUGUCAAAGAUGGUCUUCUGCGGGAAGCCAUGGAUGAGGUCCUUGCGGGCGUUGAAGGUGAGGCCAUGGGAUGUCGCCGAGUGGACGAACAGGCGGUUGGGCUGCGUGGAGGUGGGCACGGAGGCGAACCAGCGGUCGAACACGGCGAACUCGUCGGCGAGGGAGGCGUAGACGGGGACGGCGUCGGGCUUGAACCCGCUCAUGACGUUCUGCGGCAUGCCGAGGCCCAUGCCGCGCGCGUUCUGGGCGAAGCCGGACAUGGGGGGCGGCACCGCGGAGGUGUCGGCGGAGCCGAAGAUCUGCUCCCGGAUGUCCUCGAAGCCGUGGCCGGGGUCGGAGUCGACGUAGCCGGCCUCGUCGGUGACGAAGAUCUCCGGGGAGGAGGGGUCGGAGGCGUUGAGGCGGUUGGACUCGCGGCCCGUGAGGCCGUCGAUGUCGGGGCGGGUGCGGCUGAGCCAGCCGAGGAUGUGGUCGAAGCUGCGGUUCUCCAUAACCACCACCACCACCGUCUUGACCGGGGAGUGGAUCUCGUGCUUUCGCCGCCGGCGCUUCAGCCCGCGGUGGUGCGCGUCCAGGCAGUGCCCGGAGACGACCAGCGCCAGCAGCAGGAGCGCCACCAGGAGGCGCGUCCCGGGGUCGCGGCGGGCCGCGGCGACCAUCGCGCCGGACCGAGAGGUGGUCUUCGCCUUCGGCGGCGGCGGCGGGCGGCGGGUAGGGUAGGUGUGCGCUUGCUGUUCAGUUGAAUUGAUGAGCUCUGUUUUUUUUUUCUUCCUUUUUCAAUCAGCAGCUGCUUUGCUUUUGCGUGCGGGCGGCGGCGGCGAUUUUUUUAAUCCUUUCCGAUUUUACCCCGUGGGGGUUGGGUGGUGGGAAGGUGGUUAGGGAAAGCGGAUAGGUGGGCCCUUUUAGGUGCCGUCCGUGGGCCCACACGUCAUGGGGAGGGAACUCGGUCGCGGAGAGCACGGUGCUUGCCGUGCGGCGCGCACCAAGCCUGUCAGCGCAUGUGACACGGAGCAGUGGGACCGCUAGGCAUCUGGUCCCACCCAUCAUUGGGGUAUUAGGAUGGUCGUUUUUGUUUGCCUGCAAAUGAUAUUUAACUGCUGGGAAAAGCAUGUGCCACGUCUCGUCGAGAAAGAAGUGUGCUCGGACCGCUCAGGCCAGGCAGAUUUUUCUUGUUUUGCUGUGGGUUACGCUAAUGUGACAAGAGCCACACGCUUGCGUACUUUGAAUUUUGACCUGACUGCAGUCCCGUGGCGUCGAUUGUGUUGAUAUUUAUCUGCUUCUGCACUGGUCUUUGGAGAUUGGGUUGCCACAAGUGGUUCUGUGAUUGUCUAGAUUUUUAAUGGCACAGUGCUCCUAAGAGAUACUUCUUGUGUCACGGCUCGGUUAUUAUAGUCCAGAUUAUGCGUAGGAUUAUUACUACUACUAUUAGGAUUAUAGAAUAUAAUAAUUAGAUGAUUCAAUGAAUAUGGUGAUUGUUUAUGAUUUGUUAAAGUGAGAAAUUUCUAUUUUAUCUUUUAUGGUUUGACAAGUUAAGCAAUUAGUUGAAAGCAAGUUGGACUUUUAGCAUCAAUAAAGGAUCGUUCGGUUAAAUCGUUUUCACGUCAUAAAUCAAUCCAGCCAAUAGAGCUUAUAUAAAUUAAAGUAAUGAUUCCGUACGGAAUUCUUCCUUUGAAACGAACAGGCUCUAAAUCAUCUCCAAUCUAAGGUUUUGAUUAUAAUAAUCCAUCAUAUAACCAACCUUGUUUGGAUCAAAAUUUGAUUAUAUAAUCUGAUUAUUAUAAUCAGAGGGGUAUCCAAACAUGGCUUUAUAAUACGGUGUGUUGAAGCAUUUAAGAUUAUAUAUCAAAGUUAAUAAGGAUUUUAAAGGACAAUAUGUCUGUAUCAAAAUUAUGUACUAUUAUAUCAAAAUUAAGGAAUUUAAAGGACAUUAUAUUUGUAUAAGUUAAACAACACGUCUUUUGACCAUGCAGAAGACAUACAUGAAUACAUAGAAAUUUCAUAAACUAUAAAAUCGAGUUAGAGUGCAUGUGUCUACUGUACUUCCGUUUAGUUGCUUAAAAACACUGGAAUGCACUUAUAUUACGUGGGAGUAAGGAUUUUUCUUUUGUUUUUUUUCUCUCGGGACAGAAUUUCUAAACAUGUGGAGUACCCAUGACAAACAAGGAAUAUAGUUGAAGCUGAAUCAGCUUUAAGUUGGGGAAUUGUUUUUCUGUUCUCUUCGCUGGCCUUUGAAGCAAUUCCUUCUCCAUGGCAACAAUUGGCUUUUAAGCAAGUAUUUACUAUUUUUUUAUCUUUAGCUAUGUAUCUACAUAUACAUUAUACCUAAGUAUAUACUAGUAUGAAUUUUGGAAAGCCAAAGCAGUUACAAAUUGGAGCGGAGGUAGUAGUAAAAAUUGCUUAGACGAGUAAUAAUGACAAUAAAAACGAGUAUAUUUCCCCUCGUAACGGAGACGUGAGAUUCCCCAACAAUCAUCCAGACAGAUGAUCGAUGCCAGAUUGCCAAUCAUAAGGCGGGCCCAGUCGGUGCAAACUGAUCGGCACAUGUAUACGCCUGACAGGCAUGCUCUUCUUGUCUGUACAUUUUUGUAUGUGACCAAUAAUAUUAGUUCUUUCAAAAAAAUAUUAGUAGUACCUUUCAAAGAAACAUAUUAGUACUAACAUACUCCCUCCAUCCCAAAUUGUAAGUCAUUCCAAAAAUCUUGGAGAGUCAAAACAUUUUUACGUUUGACCAAAAUUAUAGAAAAAAAUACUAAGAUUUAUAACGUAAAGUGAGUAUACUAUGAAAAUAUAAUUAAGAAAGAAUUUAAUGAUACUUAGUUAGUAUCAUAAUAAUAAUUAUUUUAUCAUAUAAAUUCGGUCAAACUUGGAAUGACUUACAAUUUGGGAUGGAGGGAGUAUAUUCUCUCCAUCCAUAAAGAAUUAAUUUUUUAGAUUAUUAUAAGUCAAACGUUUUAACUUGACUAAAUUUCUAGAAAAAAUCUCAAGAUUUAUAAUAUUAAAUUAGUAUCAUUAGAUUUAUUAUUAAAUAUAUUUUUAUAAGAAGUGUAUUUUGUAUCAUAUAUGUUAUUUUUUUUCUAUAAAAUUAGUCAAAUUAAAAAAAAUAACUGACAUGUUGAUAGAUGGAGAGAGGAUGUUUGCAGUAUUUUUUUCCUUCUUACGAUGCCGAUGGCCAACCUUGCUCACAUUUUAUCUGACAACUGCCGUGUAGUAGAGGAUUAGUACUAAGGAUCAUCGUAAAGCAUAUGCCGAACCAGAUUCGACUUCUGAAUUCUGAUGAUUUCCUCUUUUCUGUUCUCUCUCUAUCACCGGCCCCGUUUCUUGCUUUCUGGAAAGGGCCCAGCAGUAGGCAUGGCCACGCGUUGAUGAAUAUUCUCGGGCGGCAUGGCAGUAGGCAUGGCCACGCGUCGCCACGAACAAGCUUCCCCGCUGGGCGCUGGUCGCUCCCGAUCCGUCGAUCCCACGCGUCGCUGCUGUUUGCCGCGACUUGGUCGUCAGUCGUAACUAAUUGUAUAAUUUAGGCUUUGUUUAGAUGCGAAAAAAUUUUAGAUUUCGCUACUGUAACAUUUUUGUUUGUUUGUGAUAAAUAUUGUCCAAUAAUGGAUUAAUUAAGAUCAAAAGAUUCGUUUCGCGAUUUGCAGGUAGACUGUGCAAUUAGUUUUUAUUUUCGUCUAUAUUUAAUGUUUCAUGCAUGUGCCGAAAGAUUCGAUGUAACGGAAAAUCUUGAAAACUUUUUGGCUUUUGGAGUAAACUAAACAAGGCCUUUAUUUGUAAUCUGCAAGAUGAAUUAUUUGAGUCUAGUUAGUGUAUAAUUAGAUAAUAUUUGUCAAAUACAAACAAAAAUGCUUCGGUGUAUAUUUUGCAAUUUUUUUUUGCAACUAAACAACGCCUAAUUGAACUGAUGCGCUAGGUUCUCGUGGUAAAGCAAAAUGACUUGGUACUCCCUCAAAAAUUAUUUUGGACAAGGUUUGGUAAGCAUUAGAAAUAUAAAUUAUUAAUAAUUUUUAAAUUAUUAAGUUUGCAAAUCUAAAGAUUAGACAGAUAGAUUUGUCUUAACAAAUAUUUUCAUAAAAAUAUACAUAUAUUAUUUUUUCUAAAUAUUUUUAUAAAAAUAAGAGGUCAAAGUUUUGUUUUAGAGAAUGUGUCGUUGUUCUAAACGACUCCUAGAUCCUAUAUACGGAGGAGUAGUACUCUUCAAAAGUUCCGGUGAUAGGCUACAGUGGUAAACAAAAUUUCUUCAACCAAUACCACGUUUCAUCAGUUUUUUGAAAGGGGGAAAAACAAAAUUUCAACAUCCGUAAGAGCUGAAAAGUCCAAUCCAAGUCAGGUCCAUAUAUAGGAUUUAAUGUUGUUUAGGACAGUGACAUGGUCUUCAAAACACAACUUUGACCUCUUGUUUUUAUAUAAGAAGACUAGCAAAUAUGUCCGUGCGUUGUAACGGGAGAAAAAGAUCAAAUGGCCAUAGAAAGUGAUGACAUAAUGUUACAUAUCUAUUUAUAUUAUCCUUUUUAUAAAAUUUAAAAUCCAUAAUUUAUUUUAUUGAUAACCAUGACAUAUAUGGUAUUAGAUAACUAAUAUUUACAAUAACAUAUAGUUUGGAGACAUAUUUAUUUAAUAAUAAAAAUAGAAAUCAGUCAAACCUUAUCUUACUCUAAUAUUACCUCUUAAUAUACCUUAGUAUAUUAUAUUAAAACAAGAGAAAUUUGUUGCUAGCUUUAUUUUUUUAUUUAUAUUAGAAUUCCUAUGAAAUAUGAUAUAUCGGUUAAAUGUAUAUAGAUUAUGAAUACAUGAGUUUAUAAAGGGUUCAUAUGACAUAACAACACAUCAUUCAAAUGUAAUGGAAGCAUCCUCAAGCAUAAAUUAGUAAAUCAGUGAAUCAGUGAGAUAUGCAAGAAUGAUGCUAAAACUUUUACCACAAAUCAAACAUCACAUUAAAUAGAUUAUCAUAAAAUUUUUAUAACAAUUAGAGCAAGAUAACUACAAUUUCAGUUUUGCAUUAAAAAGCAUAAGCAAGCAUCUUCAGGAAAAAAUAUACUAAGUGAUAUUUUUUGUUUACUGCAUGGAUCUAAAUAUGUGGAGCUAAACAAAAUUUAUUUUGUAAUUUUUAUAUUUUUCUAUAAAUUACAACAUAUUUAUCAAUUUUUAAUUGAUUUAAAGAAUAAAAGAAAAGUAAACUGAAAAUUUUGUAUUGAGAACCUAGAAAAACUUUUAUUUUUUUUUUCUCCUCCUCCCUCAGCGUAACGAUUCCGGAAGCAGGAGCUUUGUACCUACAUCCUAUAGUUUUCUUCUUAACUUUUUUUACAUGAGAUUUUGCAUUGACCUUAAAAAAACUUUUAUUUUUUUCUCUUCCACCACGUACUAGGAGCGGAUUCUGGACCGACACGGAUAUAGCGGCGUGGCGGACAGAAACGAUUGGCAGAUUGAAAUUUUUAUGAUUAAAUAUUAGGUAAAGAUAAAGAUAAAGAUGAAGAUGAAGAUAAAGAUUUAGAAAAAAUAAUAUACAUAUACUUUUAUAAAAAAAUUUUAAAAUAAAUCUAUUCAUAUAAUUUUCACAUUUGUAAAUUUAAUAAUUUAAGGUUGCUCUAAAUUGCGUGCGCGUAGAAACAUUUUUGUUUGUUUGUUUUUUUUUGGUAUUUUUCACGAUGAAGAUUCUCAAGGCCCGUUUAGUUACGGUACCGGCCGUCACAUCGAAUGUUUCGAUACAUGCAUGAAGUAUUAAAUAUAGACUAUUUAUGAAACUAAAAACAUGACUAGAGAGUAAUUUGCGAGACGAAUCUUUUAAGCCUAAGUAGUCUAUAAUUAGUCACUAAUUGUUAAAUAAAACAAAAAUGAUACAGUGCUGUUAAACUUUACCAACCCAAACCAAACACCCCCUCAAUUGUCCUCUAUGGCCUUGUUUAGUUCACCCCAAAAACAAAAAACUUUUCAAGAUUCUCAUCAUAUCGAAUCUUGCGGUAUAUGCAUAUAACAUUAAAUAUAGAUGAAAAUAAAACUAAUUGCUGUAUAGUUUGCCUGUAAAUCGUGAGACAAAUCUUUUAAGCCUAGUUACUAUAUGAUUGGACAAUAUUUGUCAAAUAAAAAUGAAAGUGUUAUAAUGUUAAAAUAAAAAAAAAUAGAUCUGAACAAGGCCUAUAUAUAGGGGUCGCUGGUUCGCUGCUGCUGGUGAAACUAUAAGCCAGUCCGUUUAUGUAUGUUUUUGCCAAACUCAUGCGUGGGUGCUGACCGCUUCAAACUUUUAGCCUAGGACUUCACGUGAUCGUUUUUUCUUUGUGUUUAUUUAUAGUGUACCUUAUCUCUCCCUCUCUUUCUAUAUAUUAAUUGUAUAUCUCAUAGUUAUAUUUAAAAAACAUUAUUUACUCAGCAAUUCUGCUCAUCCGAAUUGAUUAGGUUUCCUAUGUGAUACAAACCCGGUUAUCUGAAUUUAAGUCCUCAAUUAUCUAACAAUAGUUAUUUUUUCUUUAGAAUUUGUUCUCUGAUUACCAGCGCCAUUUGCUUAUUUGGAUUUUUCAAUAUGAAUGUACUAGCCUCAGGUCAAAUUGUCGCACCGAUUUAGCAUGGAGAAUAUUUUUUAUUUAAUUAACUAUUUGUUGAUUUGAAUUUCGACAUAGCUUCAAGUUGACUUAUUCGUCAUACGCAUUAAAAGAAACAUUCUUUGAUUGAAAAAAAGAUGCUUUGUUGAUUCGAAUUUUCACCACCAAAAAAUGUACCAAAAUGCGAGAAAAAGGGGAGAAAAAAACAUCCUAAUCCGUUUGCUGAACAAAACAGUUGAGAGAAAAACAUGCACGUCCAUCCAUCUAACUCUCUAAGCAUGCGAGCAGCUUAAACCUCGUGGACGGGGCGCCACGGCACAACAUAAUCCGUUGUUGUUCUUUGCCGAAGCACGCAGGUGGCCACGCCGGAAAGCCAGGUGCUGCCUCGACGUGUCCCGCGGCGUCCGCGCACCCUCCCCUCCCCACUCCACUCCGCCCUCGCCCGUCACCCGCGUGCUCCUCCCUCGCGCCCCGCCUGCCCCGCCCCGCAGCUAUCUAUAUCCAUUGUUGCUCGUUCCCCUCAACAACCAUCGAUCGGCACACUUCAGGUUGCUAUUAUCCUCUAGCAGUCCAUGGCCACAACCAGCCUCGCGCUCUCGCUGCGCCUCACGCCGUCGUCGCGGCCGCUCAGCCUCCGUCGUCGGGGGGCCGCCGUCGUCACCUGUCGCGCCACCACCGCCACGUUCCACCAGCUCGAUGCCGUCGGUGAGUGCUUGUGCCUCUCGAUCUAAGGCUGUUUGUUCCGUAUUGAGAUUGGGUAUGCUACAAUUUUGGUUGAUUAAUGUCGUACGUGGUACCGUCUCAUCUCUCGUGCGUGCGCUCAGCGGUGAGGGAGGAGGAGUCCAAGUUCCGGAUGGCAGCAGCGGAGGGCUGCAACCUCUUACCGCUCACGAGGUGCAUCUUCUCCGAUCAUCUGACGCCGGUUCUCGCGUACCGGUGCCUCGUCAAGGAGGACGACCGCGAGGCGCCUAGCUUUCUCUUCGAGUCCGUCGAGCAGGGCUCUGAGGGCACCAAUGUGGUGAGCAAUAGAUUCUAUCAGUGACACCCGGUCGCCCGACUCUCGGCCUCUAGUGGUCUAGCCGUCUAAUCGAACAUGUGUUUUGCAGGGGAGGUAUAGCGUAGUCGGGGCGCAGCCUGCCAUGGAGAUCGUGGCCAAGGCUAACCAUGUGACAGUGAUGGACCAUGAGAUGAAGUCGAGGAGGGAGCACUUCGUGCCUGAUCCAAUGAAGAUCCCUAGGACAAUCAUGGAGCAGUGGAACCCACAGAUUGCCGACGGCCUCCCUAAUGCAUUUUGUGGUACCUUUUCCGCUUCAUGUUACUCUAGAUUUAAAAUGAGAAUGCUAGCUAUGAUUUGUGUAUCUUAAAUUGCUGUCAUAUUGCCAAUUGCCAUAGAUGAUUGAUCUAUGAACUUCCUUUAAGGUAAAAACAUCCUUUGUUGCCUCUUGCUUUACACUAGCAUACGUCUACACAUUGCUACAAGAGUUCAAAAUUUUAAACGGAAUAAGGAUAUGGAAAAAUAGUAAGUCAAAAUCAACCAAAAAAAAUAAAUUUUAACUUAGCUUAAUAAUAUAAUAUUCUAAGCCACACUCAAAUAAAUAGUGUUUAAAGGACAUCAUACAGGUCAUAGGUAGCUUCAUGAGCAUAUCCCUCUCAGUGACCUCUCCUUGAUAUGCCCAAGCAGUUUUGUUGCGACAUUUGUGUACUUUUCAAUAGCUAGAAAGUUGUUUGGUGAUAUACUAAUAUUACUUCUCUUCGAUAGCUAGAAUGCUCUAAAGGGAAAACAUGGGAAUAGUUCUUUGCUCUGUAUCAAUUAUGGUCACAACAUUUUUAUGAUAUUUUGUAGGAGGAUGGGUUGGAUUCUUCUCAUAUGAUACAGUACGUUAUGUUGAAACAAAGAAGCUUCCUUUUAGUAAGGCACCACUUGACGAUAGAAACCUUCCUGACAUCCAUUUAGGCCUCUACAGUGAUGUCAUUGUGUUUGAUCAUGUUGAAAAGGUAUGUACCAUAUACAUCAUCCCUUUAUAGGUUUUGGUUGAUUUGUUAACAUAUUUCUCUCUAAUUAAUUAAAAAAUUAAAAAUUAUUUAUAUGUCCAUAAAUUGCAUUUAUAUCGUAUAACAUUGGACAUGAUUAGAAUUAUAUCAUCAAAUGUUUAUCGCUCCAUUUCUUGUCAUGAUUGCACUUUUUAUAAAUUAUCCACAACCACAUAUGGUGAUUGACUUUUGAUAUAUUAUCACCCUCUUAAAUAUCAAAGUUUUCCAAUCGCUGUAUGGUGAUUUUUUUACUAAUUUUAUAACAUUAUAGACAGGUAAAACUAUACCAUAGGAACAAUGUAUUUUUUCAAAGUGUAUUUAUUUUUUCAAUUCUACUUUUGUUUAAUAUUCAUAAUAACCACAAAUCUGGCAAAUUUGAGAGUAAAGAUCUUGUUGCUUACAAGUCUAAUCUUUAUUUGCUAUAGAAAACACAUGUUAUUCAUUGGGUGAGAACAGAUUGUUAUAAUUCUAUUGAUGAAGCAUAUGAAGAUGGAACAACUCGACUUGAAGCUUUGUUAUCAAGAUUACAUUGCCUCAAUAUGUGAGCUAUAAGACUUACAUAAUUCCUCAUUUUCAUAAACAUCAUUUUUUCACUAGUGCUUAAUUUUACUAAUCAAUUAUUAAUCCUUCUUGUAGCCCAAUGCUUUCUUCUGGUUCUAUAAAACUUAAUGUUGGAAACACUGGGUCAGUAAUGCAAAAUUCAACGAUGUCAAGAGAAGAAUAUAAAAAUAUAGUUGUCCAAGCUAAAGAACACAUCUUAGCUGGUGACAUUUUUCAAGUAGUUCUAAGCCAACGUUUUGAGAGACGAACAUUUGCCGACCCCUUUGAAAUCUAUCGUGCAUUGCGCAUCGUAAAUCCUAGUCCAUAUAUGGCCUAUCUACAGGUAACUAUAAUGCAUGUAAAAUAUAUAGUUUUUAACACGUUGGCCAACAUAUACUAAUUGAUAUACCUGUGAUUCAUCUCUUAUGACAUCUCUUAGGCACGAGGUUGUAUUCUCGUGGCAUCAAGUCCUGAAAUUCUUACUCGAGUGCAAAAGGUAAUACUAAAAUAUAAAACAUAUCUCCAUGUUAUAUUUUUACCCCUAUUUUUUAGAAAUUGUUUAAUAUCUAUAGUGAUGUAGGAUGUAUAAAAUAGUAACAUAGUUUAUGAUUUUUUCAAAUAUUGAAUGAAAACAUAGUUGAGAUGUGAUGUGAUAAAAUUAGGCAUGAAUUCAAAACUCUCAAAACUAGAUAUUUUGGCAACGUUAUUAGAGUCAAUGUGGUUUCAAAUUAUAUUAACUUUUUAUAUGCUUAUGUUAUCAUAAAAUAAUGUUAGUGUUUACUGUACUAUCUUAAAUAUUAUAAAAAGAAAAAUAUUACAGUGAAGUGAAUAUAAUGAACUUUUUUUACUAUUAUAUUUUUUAGAGGACAGUAGUCAAUCGACCGCUUGCAACAUUAUUAGAGUCAAUGUAGUUUCAAAUUAUAUUACCUUUUUAUAUGCUUGUGUUAUCAUAAAAUAAUCUUAGUGAUUAUUGUACUAUCUUAAAUAUUAUAAAAAGGAAAUAUUAUGGUGAAGUGAAUAUAAUGAACUUCUUUUUUAUUAUAAUAUUUUUUAGAGGACAGUAGUCAAUCGACCACUUGCUGGAACCAUAAGAAGAGGCAAAACAAAAGCAGAAGAUAAAGUUUUAGAACAAUUGCUUUUAAGUGAUGAAAAGCAGCGUGCUGAACAUAUUAUGCUAAUAGAUCUUGGCCGAAAUGAUGUUGGAAAGGUUUAUUUUUCUCAUUUCUUGUUCAUUUUUAUUUUUGUUGGCAUUCUUUAUUUCUAAUUCAUUAGAAUAUGUGUCAUUGUGUCAUUUAAAUUUCUUUAAUAUCUUUUAGUAAGCAAUUGAGAAUAAUAUCCAUCAUUUUGAGAAGCUUCUAAAUGAUACAUGGGCCCAUGGCUUUAUGUUAAUAUAUAGUCGGCUCUAAAACUAAAGAAUUUUAGCAUGGUAAACAUGUUAAGAAACUGGAUAAGGAUGCAAAUUUCUUUAGAGUAGAGAUAUUUUAUGUCGAAUGUUCAAAUGGUUGCCACAUGCUAUGAAUCUAUCUUUUGUGUACAAUUAUAUUUCAGUUUUAUGUUUAAACAAAUUUUAGCAACUUUCUAUAACAACAAAAAUGGAUAAAUUUUCCAUCAGACACAUCAUUGUUUCUACACUAUUGUUAGUGCUACUAAUAAAUUGCAUGCAAUAUCAAUGAGAAGAACUUUUGGUUACGAUUUAGAUAAGACAAACUCUUAUAUGUGUCCGUUGUACUAUGGUUCAGAAAAAGUUAGUUUGGUAGUUUAUUAGUUAUUAUAGUUAAUAUAUAGCUAUCUUGUAUCAUCUACAAUGAACUUGUCGCAUAUACAGGUGUCUAAACCAGGUUCAGUAAAGGUGGAGAAAUUGAUGAAUAUUGAACGAUAUUCUCAUGUCAUGCACAUCAGCUCUACUGUGAGUUUUUUUUUACAAUAAUAACAAAAUUCAACAAUAUCAAAAUUUUCAUGGAUGUAUUAAUUAAACGAUUCUCGUCUUUAUCAUAUAAUACAAGUUUAUCAUUAACCACUUAUUAUGAUUGUUUAUGUGGUAAGUAGAAUACUGAUUAUAUAGUAUAAACAAGUUAACAUAUUUUCAUGUUCAUGUUUUGUAUUAUCAAUAAUUAUUUAUAAGAGACAUGGCUGUUUUUAAAUUUAUGUAGGUCACUGGAGAGCUACGUGAUGAUCUUACGUGUUGGGAUGCACUACGAGCUGCAUUACCAGUUGGAACAGUUAGUGGCGCUCCAAAGGUAACUUAUUGAAACAGUAGUGGUAGGCAUGCAUAACCAAGGAAUGAACAAGCAUGAUUAUAUCCCUAAAUGUUGUUUUGACAUUGAACCACUACACAUUAGCUGAAUGUAUGGGUUCGAGUAUAGAAAUAAAAUUCAAACGUCACUUGUGGAUAUAGGCAAUUAUAUUGCUUUACGUAUUGAUGCUUAAAAUGCAAGGGACUAUAUCUAUUCUAGUGAUAAACCAACUCACACAUAAAGAUAAUCAUAGGUAUCAUACUUAAUAGGUGUGCAAAAUAUUACUCAUAGGUUUAAAAUUUUACCUAUUAUUAGAUAAUUUGUUGUGGGCAGCUAUUUACUCCAUUCAUAUCUUAGCUGGCAUAUUGCCAUCAUUAAUAAAAAUCUCUGUAAUAUGACUAAAUUGGUGAUAAACUUGUUGUAAAUUUAUGAGUUUUAGAAAACAUUAAGAAACUUAUAAUAAUUUAGGGUAUAUCAUUUAUAUUUUUCAUUGCAUGACCUUUGACUAAGUGGUGUCUUGUCCUCAAAUAAUGUUGUUGGCAAAUAUUUCUUGUUUUUUCCCUAUAGGUGUGAAGUUGUCUUGAGUCUGAUUAUCAUGUCAUUUUGUGAACCCAACCAGGUGAGAGCAAUGGAGUUGAUUGAUCAGCUAGAAGUGAAUAUGCGUGGACCGUAUAGUGGUGGCUUUGGAGGGAUUUCCUUUUGUGGGGAUAUGGACAUUGCACUCGCUCUUCGCACUAUCGUCUUCCCCACCACAUCUCGAUUUGACACCAUGUACUCCUACACGGACAAAAAGUCACGGCAAGAGUGGGUCGCUCAUCUCCAGGCUGGAGCUGGCAUAGUUGCUGAUAGUAAACCAGACGACGAGCACCAAGAGUGCCUAAACAAGGCAGCAGGUGCUGCUCGUGCCAUUGACCUUGCCGAAUCUACAUUUCUAGAAGAGUAGCCUAGUGCACCAGCUUAAUGAUGGAAAUGUAUCUUUUCAUUCUCUGUAUAAUUAAUUAUGGAUUAUGGGUUAUAUUAAAAAAUAUACUUAGCUUGAAUAUAAACUCAAUUACAAUAAAAUUCAUAAAUCUCUAUAACUAAAAAUUAUGGAGAGGACCCAUCUACCACAUCUAUGGUGAAGCCACAACUCCCCUUUUUACUAUGUCAUGAUAGGCUAUCUCAUCAACUUAGUACACAAAAUGGAGACAAUUUUCAAAUAAUGUCAAAGGGUUACUUUUCAAAUAUCGUAAAUAUAUUUAUAGAACAUUAACAUCACUAAAUACAUCAUAGAACAUCAUUAAAUAUAUUAUAGAACAUCACAUCUAUUAUAGAUUACAUGUAUACUAAGUUAACACCAUAAGAAACAUCAUAGAACAUCACAUAUAUAUACUACGUAAAUAUGACAUAACACAACAUAGAACACUAAAUAUAUACUACAUAAACAUCGCAUAUAUAUAGAAAAUAAAAACAAAAAUACUAAGAAGAAAAAUAUAAAAACAAACAUGAUUAACAAAUGAUAAAAAGUGCAUAGAGCAAAUAAAAUAAAUGAAUAAUUUAAAUAAGGAUAAAAAAGAUUAAAAGGAAUUAAAAUAAUAAGAAUGAAGAAACGUAGAAAACCUAAAAAGAAAAAAGAAAAACAAAUAGAAGCAAGGAAGAACAAUGAAACUAAAACCAAAAGAAAAAGAAAAUAAAAGGUAAAAUUAAAACAAGAAAAGAAAAUAAUAAGGAAAGGAGAGGAAAUAAAUAAAAAAGAAAGAAUAUAGACAGAAAAAAUAAAAUAACAAUAAAGAAACAUAGAGUAUGUGGAUUUUAAAACCCGUAACACCGUACGAGCAUUAACCUAGUAUAAAACAAAUGUAAUCUUAAGCUAUUGUAGUGUGUUAAUUUAUAUUAAAAUUGAUAGUAUAAGACGAACAAUCAAGAAUGACACGACAAAACAUCCAAUAUUCAUGUUCUGUUCUUAAUUAUUUGACAUUCUAGUGUGUGAUUUUUCAUGUAAUCAUUUUUUUUUGUGCAAAUACAAUAUACCUUUAUUAAUUAUUCACAAAGCAACUAAUGGUCUGAGAAACAUGUGAGGACAUAAACUUCAUUAAUGACAAAAAUCUAUGUAGUUUGCUACUCAGUUGGCUUUUAUACAUAUCACAAUCAGCCAUGUGUUUUAACCAAAAUACCAUAAUAAUUCUCUCAUAGUUUCUUAUAACCAUAUUUAAAACAUAUACAUCAUUAUCAUGUAGUAAUGUCAUAUAAAAUAUUUUACCUAAAAAUUGUUGUAAAAGUAAACAUUUUAUUUAUAUUUCAAAGAAUGUAUUUUCUUAUUUCAAAUAACCUUCUAGAAGACUAAUGUGAGGUUAAGAUUUAGAGGUGGCAAUAUAAGUUUAUGUUAAAGUAAUACUUUUGAAAGUUCAAAAAAAUACUUUUGAAAAAGAUAAGUUAUUCUAAAUACUUUUCUAUUAAAUGUGGGAAGAAUUAGGACAAGAAGAUGUGUUGACGAUCUAAGAACUUCACUUAAGAUGUCUAUAGCCUUAAAUAUUGCUCGACCUAACAAAACUUACAUACAUUUAAUAUAUGAGCAAAAUAAUAGACUUCUAGUAGUCUAUUAUCUGUGUGGUCACUGGUCAAUCCAUGUCCUUCGCUGACCAUUGCACUAACACCAUCUGUUAGCUAUGAUGUUGUUGAUUGCAUAGCUUGGUGCGAGUAAUUGCGCAAGUUAAUUUGCCUAAGGCCAUCCUCAAUGGGAGUUUCAUGACACAGUUUCUAACACAUCUAUAUUUUAGAAACAGUGCAUAGGAGCUUUAUGGGGAUAAAACUCUCUCUACUCCCAUAAAACUCUUAUCAUCUUUCUCUUCAUUAAUGUAGCGCCACAUCAGCAUAUUUAAUGUGCAUGAAACUCUAAUGAAACUCUAUUGAGACUAGCCUAAGUCGGACUAUGCACUAUCCAAUCGGUGUUGUUCAAGUUAAUUAUCACUGCUAGUCCUUGGAAUGCACUGAGCACACCCCACCAUCACAAUUUCAAGGGAUGAAUGGUCGCAAGGCGUACAAAAUUAUGAUAACCUACUCUGUUAGGAGAGAAAAAUACUAUUCCAUGUCUGAAAUAAUGGGAAUGAUUUUGGUUGACAAGCUCAAGUGAACACAGUUAACAACGCAAAAGUACUUGACACAAAAAUAGUUUACAUGCACAACACAAAAAUAAAAUAUUUGUCAAGAGCAGAUCGUUGCACCGCAUUAUACACUCGCACUUUACAUAAUCAAGGUAGCAAGACGAUGGUCAUGCCCGUCCCGUGUAUCCAAAUUAGCCACCAUCUCUGGUUGCAAUAAUGGGAACAACAAUGUGAGAACUAUAAACAUCCGGAUAGUGUGAUACUUUUAUUUCAUUCCACUUUUCAGUCAUAUUUUUUUUUACACUUAUGUGGAACCCACCUUUCAUAUGGAUAUUGAGGGAGAUAUAUUAGGGUAUCGCUACAACAUCUCCUCCAAUAAACCUAGAAAGUAAUAUUAGACUACCCUAAUAUUAUCUUAUUGAGAGAGUUAUAUUUGGGGACUGCUGGAGAUGCUCUUAGGCUGGGGAGGGGAUUGAGAACAAACGAACAAGGCCAAAGGUGGAAGUGGAACCUGCCUACUUUAGUGAGCCUUGUCACAUGCCUUGAGCAUACAAACCAAGUAGCAAAAAUGUUAACUUCUGGAUAUUCAUUUUCAUUGCCCAUCAGCACGGAGCCGGCAGAGCGCGCCCACCAUCCUAGUUGAACAUUAACUAGUAAACAACUACCUUGGCAAAAACCACACAAUUGGCAUUAACACAAUCUAGUCAAAUGGUUUCAGCUAUGUUAACUAAAAAUGGUCCCAACCAGGGGGGGAAAUACCAGAUGUAAUCAAAUGGAGGCUUAUAAAAAAAAUACUUAUCUGAAUGAAGCAGCAGACGAAGACGACUACAUUCAAAUAUCAAAAAUUAACAGCACUGGUUGUAUUGUAAGUAAAGAGUACAAACAUCUAUUCCCAAGGUCUCCUGCACCAUUUGUCCUCUUUGUAAACACUUCUUUCAUGGCAUCACUCUCUGCCAUACCUUGACCGCUUGCGGUCAUCAUAUUCCGCAUCAUAUUUGCGUCUUUCUGAUUUUUCUUCCCUUCCUCUAUCAGAUCUGUCAUCGUUCCUCUGCCUCUCACCUCGUAAUCUCUCAGGUGAAUUGUCACGCCUGUAUCUGUCCCGAUCUUCUGCUCUUCUAUCAUCAUGCCUACUCCUAGAUUCUCGGUCUCCAUAGCGCUCUGAUCUCGAUGGUUCACCAUCCCUGGAACUCUGACGAUUGUUUACAUUUCUCUGAAAGCAUAAUUCGCAACCAUCAGAAUAGGAUGGCAACAUGAUUACUCUAUACUCACAGAAAAAGGUUACUGAUAAGCUACAAGCUUAAUUAUACGAUACAUAUUUCCACCAAAUAAAAGUAGAACCAAAGGGAUCACCAGAUGUUCAUUAGGAUUAAAAAUUUCCACAGUCAAAGAAGCAUAUGCACAUGUGAAUGACUAACAGAAACUAUAUCACAAAUGCGCAUUAUUUUUAUUCAUAAGAAAAAAAUCUUGCUUUGCAUUUGUCUAAAGGCUUGCAACUUGCAAUUACGAGUUUGUAGCAUAUCUAGAAACAAGGAAACAUGGGGUAUACUUGCACGAAACACUUUGUUAGAUUGACAUGAUAGACGAUACCCAUUUUCUAGCUAGUCAAGUAUUGGUUUGUAAACUGUGCAUUCCCAGUGAAUAAUCCUAGAACCAAGGGCAUCCAUUGACCUACCUGCUCAUCAUGCGAAAAUUUGCAGGAUGCUCCACGGUUGCACUCCCCUUUCUGGAAAGCAUAGCACAUGCCUCGGCUCUUUGGUACAUCACUGUGUUUGUCAUGCUCCCAUCGUGCACCGCUAUCCUCUUUAGAACCCCAACCGGUGUUUGCAUUUCUCUAAAUAAUAAUCCACAAACAUCAGAAUGUCACCAAACCAAUAACAAUAACAAACAAAUAUGUUGCUGCGCAAAAAUGAUUAGAAUCGCUAUACAUAGAAAGUAGAAAAAUGAAUUUAGAAAAUUAAGCACAGGCAAUGAUCUUUCAGGGCCUGUAUGGAUACGAAGCAAUUGAACCCAAACAAAUCUAAAAAGUUUUCCACGGUGACACCUACCACCCCACCCCCAGAAUCACGAGGGCAUUUUGCACAAGCUACAAGCAACAGAAUCCCACAACAGUGCAAAAGAAUCUCACAAAUGCAAAUACGGGUUUCACCCUGAUUAGGCCAUUCAGUGAUUCAACUGGAGUACAGGUUAAGCCAUGUCAAUACAAAGGCCUAGCACAUUGAAGCUUAUGUUGCUUCCACCAAUCACGAGAAACAUUGGUAAACUUCAUUAAACAUUGGUUGUGAGAUGACAGGAUACCCAUCACCCCUCAGCGACCAAACUGAUUGACAACUGAUAUAUUGCUUCUCAAAGAUAUUUCAGGCAUUGGUUUGCUUACUGGCAUUCCCAAUGGAUAAUCACAUAACAGUUUUAUCGAUGCAUUCACAGCACACUGACCUGCUCAUCAUGUGAAUAUCUGCAGGAAGCCCCCCGGUUGCACUCGCCUUUCUGAAAAGCGUAGCAGACUCCACGGGCCUCCCUCUUCUUCUGCUGCUCCUCCUCAUCUUCCUCCUCCUUCUUCUUGUACUUGCUCACAUGGUCAACCCUUAUGAUCCUCCCAAGAACUUUAGCUCCAUUCAAAUUGUCUUUACCAUGCGAAGUUAGGCAAACAAGAACAAUUAUUAAUUAGGGCUCGAGCAUAUAAUUAACUGAAACUGAAUACAGAAGCGACCAAAGAUAAAGUGGGAAAUAUGGGCGAAAAGGAUGCUUACCAACAGCAAGAAUUGUGCUUCUCUGGUCCUCGUACGCGAGGAACGCGAACCCCUUGGAUUUUCCGGUGCCUUUGUCGCGCACGAGGUUCACGUCGACCACCUCACCGUACCUGCCAAAGGGGAAGACAGGGGAGUCGUCAGAUCUCCCUGCCGGUAUUCAUUCCAAGGAGAGGGGAAGGAAGGAGGGAGGGAGGGAGGGAGGGAGGGAGGGAGGGGAGGAAAGGAAGGCGUGAAGUGGAGGAGGUGAGGGUUUGCGGCUCACUGCGCGAAGAUGGCGAGGAGGUCGCCCUCGGUGAGGUCGAAGGGGACGCCUCCGACGUAGACGUAGGCGGAGUCCUUGAACUUGGCGUGCCACGAAGCGUCCUCGCCGAUGCCCAGGAGCGCCUCCUUCUGGUUGAUAACCUGCGUCCGCUUCACCUGCGUGAGGGGAUUCAUCGCCGCCGCUCCGGCCGCCGGCGCCGGCUACUCGAACGGCGAUGGAUUUGGGAGACGAAGAGGAGCCGGGUCGGUGUUUGGGGUCGAACGGGCUUUUGGAUUUCGCUAGACCUGAUCAAAGAAGGGUCGGGCCAGGAAAACCGUGCCCCCCGGCCCGCGGCCCACCCUGGCGGGCUGAAAAUUCAAGUCUGGACGGCUGGACCUGCCCUGGAGAUUUUCUGGAUCGGGUCGAGCCUCCUCCCUCAAGCCUUGUUUAGUUUCCAAAAAAUUUCAAGAUUCUCCGUCACAUCGAAUCUUGCGGCGCAUGCAUGAAGUAUUAAAUUUAGACGAAAGCAAAAACUAAUUACACAGUUUGCCUGUAAAUCAUGAGAUAAAUCUUUUAACCCUAAUUAGUUUAUGAUUGGACAAUAUUUGCCACAAACAAACAAAAGUGCUACAGUACCCAAAACCCAAAAUUUUUGCCAACUAAACAAGGUCAGUCUCAAAUUAAAUUAGGCCUUGUUUAGUUCGCAAAAAUUUUCAAGAUUUUCCGUCACAUCGAAUCUUUGGUCGCAUGCAUAAAGCAUUAAAUAUAGAUGAAAAUAAAAACUAAUUACACAGUUUACCUGUAAUUUGUGAGAUGAAUCUUUUGAGCCUAGUUACUCCUUGUUUAGACAAUGUUUGUCAAAUAAAAACGAAAGUGCUACAGUAGCCAAAAAUGGAAAUUUUUGCCAACUAAACAAGGCCUUACUACUAGCUUCUAAAAUUAUCCUAAAUCAAAUAAUUUUUAAUUUGACAAUGUGCAAAAAAGCAUCAAUACUUACGACACUGAAUUAGUUUUACUAGAUUCACCAUGAAAUAUAUAUGUUAUAACUUUUUUAUAUGAAAUUGAUUUAUUUUAAGAUAGCGAUAGUAUUUUUUUGGUACAUCACGUUUUCUCAAUACAAAAAGUCUAUCUCAUCUCUUCAUCAACUCUCUAUCUCUCUCUCAAUUGGUAACCCGAAUAUUUAGACUCCUCUAAUUUUUUAUGUUCGAUUUGUCCGUAAACGGUUUUGACACAUGUGACACCACAAGAGAGAGAAUAAAACUUUUGUGAUAAUUCAUAAGUCAGCUAGACUUUACCAAAAAAAAUAUAGAAUAGUCUUUAACAAAAUUAUCUAUUUUUUUUUUAAAAAAAUAUGUAUUUAAAAUCACUAAAAUCUGAUUGACUCUUUGAGUUUUGAAUCAAAGUGUUUUUAAUAUUUUUGGUAGAUUAAAACAAGUUUUCUAUAAUUUUUAGAUUAUAUCAUAUUUUAGUAUUUUUAAAUGCAUAGAAUAUUUGAAGUUUGUGCAUCACAUGCAUAAUCUAUAUCCAUAGAUCUUAUAUUUUCAAAAAUAAUAGAUUAGUACUUAGCACAUGCGAUUAUAUAUUUAUUCAACAUAUUCACAUCAUUCAACAAUAUCAUUUGCUAACAUAUAUUUAGCUGCUCACAUCAUCCACUAUCAUGUAUUAUGAUACUUCUCUCUCUCUCUCUCUCAUUGUUAUAGUCGAACUUAUGGCCAAUCCAUAUCUCUGGUUCACUAGAGGUUACAGUCCAUCCAUUUGGUGGUAAACUCCAACAAACCUCAACAAAACUAGCACAACAAGUCCAAAUGACUUAGGGCAUCCAUAAUAGAUGUUGAUUUCGAUAGUGACAUGGAGCGAUUUUGAAAUGGCCUAUAAUUUUAAUAUCAGACACUUUUAUUUAUGUUGUUGAGUCCUGGGCCCCUCUAAAGAUUGUAAAGAAAACUUUUAUCUAUCUUCACUUGUGAUUGAUUGCAAGAACAAAAAGCGACGCUCAACCACUACAUCAUUCGGUUCAUAUCUUUCUUCCUAAUGAUGAACAAAACACUAGUGACAUGUUUUAUCCUUGUUCUCUUUUCUUUACGUCGGUAUUUUAGCAUAGUCAACAAUCAAAUCGUUAGCUCAAAUCGUCUUGUUAGGGACACCCUUAGCAGCAUGAUAAAAUUAGGGGCAGCCUGUACAUUCAAUUAUUCCUUUUACAAACAUGAUGAACGAUGUCUAUUAUUGUUUUGUAUUCCAUUCGAGUUGUGCAUUGUCUGAAUUAAAUAAUUCAACGAGGUAAAUAAGAAGCGAAGAAAGUAUAACAGGGGUGAACAGACCAUGGUACGGACGACAUACAAACACCAAUUUAUUUCUAAAUCCAUGGGAUGUAUUUUAUAGUGCUUAUUUAUGUUGAAAAUAUCGCUAUAUUUCCCAUAUUUUUAGAUUUAAAAGUAUGUUUUAGGCUUAAUUUAUGGCUUGCUCAAGCCCCUAAGAUUCUCCGAGACGCCACUAGCCAUGUAAUUGUCAUAACAGCAAUGUACUUUAGAUAUGUAUACAUAUUUGACCCCUAGCGCAAUGACAACCAUAUUUAUUUUAUAUAGGCUAUAAAUUUUACAAAAUUUGAUCAAUAAUUAUUGAAACUAUAUGUAAUAUUAGAAUAUAAGCAGAACCUGCAUCAAUAAAAUCUUUUCGAACUGCCUAUGAGAUAAUAUUGAUUCCUUAGCAAAUAACAGUAUACUCCCAUCAUUUCAAAUUAUUAUAAGUUGUUUUAUCUUUUCUAAAUAUGUAACUUUAGCUAGCUACAAAAAAUUUAUUCUUCCUUCUAAAUUAUAAAAUGUUUAAGCUUUUCUAGAUUACUAUCAUGUACUCAUUGCAUUCUAAGUUAUAAGACGUUUUUUAUAAAUAUAUUGCCUUUACCAUGUAUCGCGACAUAACUUAUAUCUGUAUAUAACCAAAGGUACGUAUCUUUUAAAAAUAAAAUAUCUUAUAGUUUGAAAUGGGGGAGUACUUAGGGGGUGUUUAGUUCCCCUUUUACCCCCUAAAAAUUUUAGAUUUUGGUCCAUCAUUUUGCAUAAUAAAAUUUAAACAACAUACAAUUUUUUUGGUAAAAAGGUGACUAUUCUCCAUUUCAGAUUUUUGCCUCAAGAGGCAAAAAAAGGCCCAAAAAAGCCUCAAGAUGUCACAAUGAGGACAAUAAAUUCUGAAUGGCAUUUUGUAUUUCAUUAUUUUAAAGUAGUUGACAUUUUGUAUUGUGCAUUCUUUUCUUUUGCGAGCAUUUUGCAUUCCUUGGGGAACUAAACGGGUCCACAAUUUAAAAUGGAGGAAGCACUUUUAAAAGUUAAAGGCUAAAAAUCUAUUUUAGUGAGUAAUUCCCUCAAAAAAAAAGGGUACACGUCCACGUGUCUAAAUCCUUUUUGACCUGGCUUGCCGCCUGGUGACUUGAGUUUGACUCCAACAGUUCCCGUCCACACUACUCCCGCCCCCAUUUGAUUUGAGAUUUGACCUGACCAUCGCCUCCUCCUCCGCCUCGUCCCUCCCGCCGAGCCCGAUCGACCUCCCUUCCGCCGCACGCCGGCCUCCCUCCUCCUCCGCGCCCCGAGGCCGCAGCCGCGUUGACCCCCGCGCCUCCCCCUCCUCCUCCACCACCGCAUCGCCUACCUUUACGUCCUCCUCAAGCCCCUUCAUGCCGUCGAAAGGCAUCUCCGGCCCCCUUUUAGCGCCCACCGUCCACCGCCGCUUCCCCCACCGCCUCUCUCUCUCUCUCUCUUCAUCCCCUCUGUCUCUUCACCUCCAGCCACCGCCAACUCCUCCGGACGCCGCUCUUCUUGCUCUGCGCCGGACGGCCGGAGGCCUCCUCCUUCCAGGUAACGCCAGCUUGUUCUCGUUCGUUCCAUCAUGUCCGCGGACUCGUUGCAGUUGGUGUCCUGAUGGGAUGGGGGUGGAGUUCCAGGUGCUGCGGCGUCCAUGUCACUGGAGUUCAGGUCCGAGUGCGAUGACAUCGAGGAGGCCAAGUCCCCCAGCAACACCAGCGUCGCCGCCGUCGCCGUCAAGAACGCUGACGCCUCGGUCUACAAGAUCAUCCACGGCUACCUGAAGCAGAAGAACAACUCCAUCAUCAAAGUCGCCGCCAAUGUCGCCAGGAAAGCGGCCUCCAACAAGUACGUCUAGUAAUUAACACCCCGUCCAAUUUCUCUGUGCUAGGUUCACCCGAGAAAUUGCAAGUUUACAAAAUUGGCCAAUCGCUUCUCGUGAUGCGUCCAGAUUAUCGAGGAAGACCUCCGAUGUCUUCGACACCUUGCUUCAGAAGCAGCAGAGCAAGUGGGGAAACAAGGCCGGACCGUUGCUUUCUGGGAUCUGUUACUGCAUCGCCUCCUGCAGCAUGAUAUUGCUCAACAAGGUGGUUCUCUCCGGCUACAAUUUCGAUGCUGGAAUAUCGCUGAUGCUAUAUCAGGUGAUUCGGUUUAUUCUGCGGGUUUUUUUUUCAUGCGGCUUGAGAUUUUGUAGUUCAAUGCGAUGCAACUGAUCAUAUCUCCCUUUGUGGUUCAGAACUUGAUAAGUGUCGUCAUUCUUCUCUUACUUGAGCUCUUCCAUGUCAUUUCUACGGAGGAACUCACAUGGAAGUUGAUAAAAGUCUGGAUUCCGGUGAAUCUUAUUUUCAUCGGCAUGCUACUAACUGGAAUGUACAGGUACUUCCUGCAUAACUCUGAAUAUACAUGUCACAUGAUGAUCCGUUGGUAACCUUUAGGUGGAUUGAACCUGUCAGGACAAAUGUGACAGUAUUCCAUCUUUUUUAUUUCAUUUCAAGUUUAGUUGUCUCAAUUCUGAAGUAAACUUUAUUGGUGUCGUAGGCUUGCAGUAGUAUUGAUUAACUCUCCUUUUCUUUUUGUCUCUGCAAUUCUUCAGUUUGAAGUACAUAAACGUCGCAAUGGUGACAAUAUUAAAGAAUAUGACAAAUAUUAUAACGGCUAUAGGAGAGAUAUAUAUAUUCAGGAAGGGUCAGAAUAAGAAGGUUUGGGCUGCACUUUUUCUGAUGGUAGGUUCAUUCUUGCUUGACAUGCCCCUUCUUUGACUUCCAUAUAUCAAAGUAAUGCUUGACUAUUGACCUUCACGAAGGAUUUACCUCCAGAAUAGCAUGAGUUUUUUUUUUUUUACCUGAGCAGUUUAUGUCUCUGUCUUCCUUUGCAGAUUGUAUCGGCUAUAUGUGGGGGGAUUACAGAUCUCUCUUUCCAUCUAGUUGGCUACACGUGGCAAAUUCUGAAUUGCUUUCUAACAGCAGGCUACUCGGUUAGUUCAUUUUGUCCUAACAGUUUUACACAUCUAUAGACUAUUGUAAGUUUCUCUACAAUCUCAAUGGAUUGCUGCGCAGAGGUUGCUGGUGCCCUGUAUUUGAACUCUUUCCUCCUUAAGGCAAUGAUACGCAAUGCUGUUGCGUACGAGAAAAAAAAUGUAUAAUCAAUUAAUUCAUUUCCGUAAUCAACACUGGAACAAUGUCAAGCCUAGUUCAACCUUUUUGAUUAUUUUUAUGAGGUCAAUCUUAUUAGUUCUGCUGCGUCCCUAGCACUUCUAAUCCACGAUCCUUUUAUAACAGCUUACACUAAGGCGCUUGAUGGAUACAGCUAAACAAUCAACAAAAUCUGGCUCCCUCAAUGAAGUUUCUAUGGUGUUACUCAACAAUGCGCUCUCAAUUCCAUUCGCACUCAUUUUGGUUGUAAUCUUCAAUGAGUGGGAAUAUGUUUAUCAAGCGUAAGAAUUUCAUCUUGUUGCAUGUUAACCAUUACUUCUUUAAAUAAAAACAAAUUUUCAUGGUGUGGACUAAGUACUUGGUCUGAGUCGUUUGUUAACGUAUUUAUGUAUUUAUUAUUUUCUUUUUCAGGCCUGAGCAUUCUAGAGUAGUUAACUCUAUUGAUUUGAUCAUAGACAUGUUUUUUGAAAGCAGACAUGUUAUGCAUUAACUUUUACCUGUUUAUUCCAAUUUAACCAAAACAUAUUAAACUUCAUUUCGUCGUACUCCACAUUAAACUUAAACUUCCUUUCAUAAAAAAAGCGUUCUGACUUUGCUCACAAAAGAUGCUUUAAUCUCUGAGACCAACUUUUGGGAACAAGCACUGGCUAGUUUGGUAGAGCGCUCCUGUUGAGAGCGACGCCACCCGGGCUUGAACCCGGUGCCCACCUCCUUUCUAGCAAAUUUCCGGUACGCCCUAGCAUGUCUUUCAAAAAAAAAAACUGCAACCAACUUAAAUAUGAAGUCAAAUGAGAUGCACCAAGAAAACCAACAUUUUUUUUAUCAUCACAAAUGGUUGCCUCUAGGGUACAACUAUCACCGUGCAUGCUGCUUCAUUUGCACAUAUAUAUAUAUAUAUAUAUAUAUAUAUAUAUAUAUAUAUAUAUAUAUAUAUGACUUUCAUUGAUUUGCAGUGAAGUUAUCAGAGACCCAAUGUUCUGGGUUGUUGCAACAGCUAGUGGUUUGCUAGGUCUAGCCAUCAGCUUCUCAUCAGUGUGGUUUUUGCAUCGGACUGGUCCAACAACGUACAGGUGAGACGACAGUACUAAUCUGUGGUGCCCACAAAAAUGUUUACAUACAAAAAGAGAAUAGAUCUGCACUCCUGUGAGCAGAGAAGUCCUUAUCAUUUUGUUUUAUCCUUUUCAGUCUUGUUGGUUCUCUGAACAAGAUACCCAUUUCGAUUGCUGGUAUUUUGCUGUUCAAUGUCCCUGUAAGCGUCGAAAAUUUAUGUAGCAUAGUUUUUGGUAAGUAUUUACUUCGCCCAUGAUAUUUUUCUAAUGUCCUUUUUAUCCAUGUUACCCUAACGAUUUCUGCAUGUUCUCACCAGGUCUUUUUGCUGGGAUAUUCUUUGCAAAGGCAAAAAUGUCGUCCUAACUGUCAUGUCCCUGUGUCUGUGUGGUUGUAAAGCUGUAACAUGAAAAGUUUCUGCGGCAGCUCUGCCUCUGUACAGAGAUAUGAUCAGAGUCUAUCAACUGUACAGAGAUAUGAUCAGAGUUCAUAAAUUUUUUACAUCCUUUCCCUUCAUUCACAAAGGGUACAGCAUGUGUGUUUGUGUGCCCUCAGUUUUGUAACAUGACAAUGCCAAGGCAGAAGGAACUCUGCAAGGCGAAUCAGCAAUUGGAACUCUGCUAAUCUGAUCAAGAAAUUGAGCAGAAGGAUUAUACUACACAAUAAAGGAAGGACUUAGUGUUUCCGACUUGGUUGUCAUUUGUCAACCAGUCCUCUUCAGGAAUUCAUGGCAAAAACAUCACCGAUCAAUUCGGUUUGUGCCUAUUAUCUCUCUCAAAGAGAGGUAAUUCUAUUUAUCUGAGACUUAGUAUACAAUAUCUAGAUUCAGUGGUGUCCAUAAUUCCCAAACUGUAAAUUGGCGCAGCAAAGCCAAACGAUACUUGUUCUCGAGUAACUAUUGCUAUACCAAGAUUAAAGUAAGAUGGGAGACAAAUCAAACAUGAUCACCUAAGUAGCUUGACCAUUUUAAUAACCCAUUUGUCAUAUACUUAGCUGGAAAAAAAAAGAAUCACAGGUGCAGCGGGAAGUAAAAAUAUAUCACAUUAUAUGACAUCAAAGAUGACUUGAGUUUUUGGGGGAGCGAGAGUAACCUCACACCACCACACGUAUAUAUGCGCAGCCAAUUUUUUUCCCCCUCAAAGCCAAAUCCAGCUUUGAGUUCGACAAUCCGUAAACCACGCACACUGGACACGUUCAGCUGCUUUUCUUGGCGAAGAACCCGCCGAGGCCGGGGAGGUUGAACCCGCCGCCGCUGCCGCCGUCGUCGGCAGCGGCAGCCUUCUUGCCGGAGGUGGUAGCGGCGCCCCGCGGCGGCGGCUUGGCGCGGGAGGAUGCGGCGGCUGACGCGCCGGCGACCUUGUUGAGGAGCGGGUCAGUCUCCACCAGCUGGUCCUUCUUGAAGAUGAAGCCGAAGAUGAUCUCGCCGAGCCCCUUCUCCUCCUUGGCCGGCGCCGGGCCGCCCCUGGUGGCGGCUGGCGGCACGGCCAGCACGGACCGCCGCGCUGGCCGCGUCCUCCCCGAGGUCGGCGCCACGGCCGCCGCCACGGUGCUGCCGAACGCCACUGACGCCAUGCUAAAAGCUAGCUUCUUUGCGAGCGAUCGGGAGUUCGGGAUGAAAUGAAACAAUGGCUGCCUUCUUUUUUUUUCUCCUCCGUGAGGCGGCGAGAGGUGGGCAUAUAAGCGGGCGUGGUGACUGUGCAGGUGGUGGUCGUGAUGGGGAGGGCGAGGCGGCCACAAGCGGCUUAUCCGCUGUGGGGUGGGGGUGCGGGCAGGCGCAGCGGACGUGGUGAGGUGAGGUCGGCGCGCGCGCGCGUUGCUUGCUGCCGGCUGCCGCUGCGAGAGGAGCCGAUCGGGCCGCGGAAACAGCGGAGGUGGACGUGGCUGGACCACGGGCACAGGUGCGGCGGGCCAAGUGGCCGGGGCGCGCGAGAGGACCGUGUGCGACGCACGUACGUAGUCUUGUCUUGGCCUCUUUGGGGCGAUUCGUCUUGCUCCCAACUUUUUUUUUUGACAAGUUUUUCAAAUUAUGAAUACGAUUCAUAUUGAAUACGAAUUCGUUCGUGCCAUAGCUAUGUAUGAGGAUAGAGGAGUCUCAUGGAUUUUGAUCAUCAGACUUCGUAGUGCAAGAGAAAUACGAGCAACCACUUUAAGCCUUUUCUCUUUAGUAGUUAGAAAGGAGGUUGUUGACUGGUUGUCUUGAUAUGUAUCUUUAAUCCGAGAUUCUAUGUUGCUUAAAGCAUACUAGGUCGCAUUCUUCUUUCCUUAUUUCUUUUGCAAUAGUUGUGUGUAGGGUCUUUGUUAUAGUAAUGAGAACUUUUUUUAAAAAAAAACUGCCUUCACCUAAAAAAACAUACAGUAAAAAUAAAACUUUUUUCUAACAAGGGGAUCUCCCCAUUUCCAUAGCAACAGGAACGAAAAAUACAUCAAGAGUUUUCAGAGUUGUUUAGGAAGGCAAAAAAGACUAAACGGAGCAAGGACGAUUCAAAGUCACAAGCUUGCAUGUGAAACACUUUUGUUUAGCCAUCAACCAAAGGAAUAUCUUAAUUUUUUGGAGAAAUUCUUCCUUUCCAAAUGUACUUGAAUGAAGAGGCACUCUCAGAACACGUCAAAGCAUUAUAUGUAGAUUUCACAGGAAAUUUGCUUCUAAUUUCCGGUUUCUAGGCAAUUCUGUCCCGAUCCAAGAGGUGACAUCAAUGUGAAUGUAUUCCUUGCAAAAUACAGGUUAGUCAUAAACACUUGUAUUCAUCAAUCAAAAAACCCAAAUUUGAAAAUGGGGCCUAGAUCUAUUCAACCUUGUAAAUUAUGAGGCUGAGAAAUGCUACGAGAUCUAAUCAAUCAAUUGAUGUUAUAUAUAAGAAUAUAAACUUUAUAUUGAUCUAUAUAUAUAGGUGACUUCAUGCUAUCUCUUCUAUCAAAAGGCUAGUGAACUUCUUGACUUGUCUGAUAUCACAUACCUCAAAAUUUAGUCAAUGUUUCACCAUAAAACCCUAAAGAAUGGAUGAAA
rnacentral:lncRNA from 1 species